rnacentral:lncRNA from 1 species
CUUGCCCCACUGCGACGAACAACCGUUGUGGCGGCAGCACGAGCCGCGCUUCAUUCUCCCCGAAGUGCAGCGUCACCGUGGGCAGAUGCUGCCAGAGCUGCGACGUCGCACGGAAGCAGAGGUGCUACUCGCGGGACACGGUUGGCACCCCGAGCGGCUCGAGGUGCUUCACCACGGCGUCCUUGAGCUUUGCAUAAGCGGGCCUUAUCAUCACCAUUGUGGGUGUCCCAGCAUCGAACGCGCAUCCGCUGGUCCACUCCUGGCCGUGCAUGUGGCGCUUGAACAACUCCCUAAUAUCGUGCAGCUGCCGCCCGGCGACGCUGACGCCCGUGAGGGCCACGAAGUAGGCGCUGAAAUCUCGGCUGAUCGUGGAUGUCAUGUACAAGAUCCUGGUGCUUACCAUGUGUUGGGUGUCUGGGACGUCGUCACCGAACCGGAGGAAGCUGUGGUGGUCCGGUGAGCCGUGGCUAGGGAGGCAGUAUGAGAAGCGAUGCACUUGCACGCCACCAUGCCUCUGUUGGCCGAGGGUCCAGAUGAGCGAUGGGGCCUGCCUUCCCAGGCCGAGUACCCCGGCGAGCACUCCGUGGCUGUUGAAGUUGAAGCCCUCGCUGUUGUGCGCGCAGCCAAUGACGACGCCAGCAACCUCCGCCUCCUGGCCGGCGGAGGCCCCGAAGGCCAAGGUCUCUCUGCUCAGGACGCCUCUUGCAUCGGUGCCGUCAAGUCCGGUGCUAUGAAACUUGCAUGGGUCUCUAACUGUGGGCUGAUGCCCAUAAGCAGGCGGCAAGCAGAACCUACUGUUUCCCGGUACAUGGCGGAACGACGGCGACUUGGCAGGCUCGAAGGGCGGCGGCUGUUGUGCGAAAGGCUUUUGGACCGGCUUGCACUGCAUCCAUAGUAGGUUGCUGGUCAUAUCCAGCGCGAGGACGUACGUGCGUCGUCCGGCCCCCGUCCCAACGGUGGUGACGACGCUGUACUUGCCCUCAACUUGUGUGUGCAUGGGCGGACGAAGCGCGGUGGUGGCGUGCUCAUUCAGGUGCACGAAGCCGUCGUCGUCGACGUGGAUGCUACGGUUCCAGUCGGGGCUGUAUCAGCCGCAGGCUGAAUCCGCCGCCACCGCGCCCUGGUGUGCCAUCACCUACAGCGACGACAUCGGCAGGGUGGAGGAGCACUGCAAGCACUAGAGGAAGGAGGAGAGCGCACGCGGCGAGCUUCAUGGACAUUUCUGUUGCAGCAAUGCUUGUUGGUGUUUGACGGCUUAGUAGUUCGGUUUUCCGCAAACCCAGAUGUGACGUGUGUAUAUAUUGGAGGGGAGGGUUCGCUGCAUUUACUACGAAGGGAGAAUCCAUUUCUGAGAUUUGCAUGUCCCUUGCAGAUAGCUACGGAGGAGAUACACACACAUUAAUUCAUGCCAUUAUUGAAUUAAUGUUGCAAAUCGAAAAGAGUGAUAGAUAGAGGGGCAAAAAAAACUGCAUAUCCCUUACAGAUACCCCUAUGGAGGAAAUACGCACAAAUUAAUUCAUGACAUUCUUGAAUUAAUGGUGCAAAUCAGAAAGAGUGAUAGAUAGUAGAGAUGUUUCUGGCGUGGCGGAAAUUAAAUUGUAGCUGCUGGGAUUGCGAACAAGCGGUGGGGACAACACAAGCGUGACUUUGAUGGUGGUUCGACGAGCAUCCAGUCUCGCGAAAUCAUUAACUAAGGAGUACUCAUUGCAAAAGAUACUCCACUUUCCAGGUCGCGACAAGUGGCGCACAUGCAGCGCGCCACUUAUCGCAACCUGGGAGUUUUCCCUUUUUUCGUAGAUUCGUUUAUUCAAAAUGUUUUAUCUCUUAAACCGUGCGUCCAAAUCUCGAACCGUUUUUACCAUUGGAUUCCUCGCGUCGAGAUCUUCAAAAUUAAUCCCAUGUUGAUAGGUUUUGGCGAACUUCUUUUUUUCAGAAAAAAACGGACGAAAAUAACCAGGCGAAAAAACCGUACCGGGAGCACGGUUUUUCCCUUUCCGAAAGAGGCACGCCCGUGCCUCUCACGAAAUCACCAUCAUGCCUCUUAUGGAAGCAAAACCGUGACUCUCGUGGAAGGAAAAAAAAUAGAAAACACUUUUUUUUCGUUUCCGAAAGGCACGGCCGUGACUCUCGCGAAAGCACAAUCGUGCCUCUCGCGAAAGCAAAACCGUGACUCUCACGAAAGAAAAAAAUGAAAAAACACGUUUUUUUCCCUUUCCGAGAGGCACGGUCGUGACUCUCGCGAAAGCACAACCGUGCCUCUCGCGGAAGAAAAACCGUGACUCUUGCAAAAGAAAAAAAACAGAAAACGCGUUUUUUUCGUUUCCGAAAGGUACGGCCGUGACUCUCGCUAAAGCAGGACCGUGCCUCUCGCGGAAGAAAAACCAUGACUUUCGCGAAAGAAAAAAGAAAAGAAAACGCGCUUUUUUCGCGCAAAUGUUUUUUUUCGAAUUUUUUUGAUCGAAAAGUUAAGGAAGACCGGAGCAAAACCAAAACGUCGAAACAACCUGGAGAAACCCGUUUAAAAAGCCGAAACUGCGUGCGGAAAACUAAAAAAACAAAAUCCGGAGAGAGCGUUCAGAACGCGACAUGUGGCAAAUGGCUGAGAGCACGCCAAGUGACGCUAAUCGUUGUGAGGCUCCCGAAGGAGCGCUCGUUAACUAGUUGUUCUCCCAGUCUCUUGCUUCGGGGCGAAACAGGGGUGGAAUUGGGCCUAUGGCAACCGGGGUUAUAGCCCCAGGGCGUGGCCCAACUAGUGCUAUGGUUCCAAAAGAAAAUUUUCAGAUUUUCAGAUUUUAAGAGGCCCAGCCCCAGGCGUGAUUGCCCAGCUCCAGGCCUCAGCCGCUCAGCCUAUGUACCUUCUCAGGCUCGCGGGCCAACUAAAUCUGCAUAGGUAAGCAGCAUGAAGCCAAAAACAAAACGUUUUCCCCUAAAAAAACGUUAUUGCCAAAAAAAAUCACGCCCACAUUUGAUCGUUGGUCAGUUGAGAUUCCAAAGGAAUCGAUUGCCCGACGAUUAGACCGAUUAGACAAAACAAUGGUUGCCUUGUUCCGUGCGCCGCUCCAGGCGUUUCCCCUCAAUGGCUCGACAGACCUGCGCAUGGCCUCGUCGCUUCGUCGGAGCAGCCCCCUCCAAGUCCAACCUUCUGGUCUUUUCCAUCUCAACAACCGGGCAACGUCUUGUUCUUCUCCGUCUCCACAACCGGCUAGACUGGUAAUUUCUACUUUAGUGUGUCGUCUAUCUUUUUCCUAGAUCCAAGAUGAUUAAAUUGUACUCGUAUUACUUUAGUCAAUUUUGUUUCGGUUAUUUGUAAAAAAGCAAAAAAGAUAGAAAUCCAAGAUGAAUAGGGUACGUAUGAUUUUUUUCGAAGCAACAUCCAGCUAGCCUUCAUCGAACAAUACCAACAUCAUCAUUGUUAAACUAUUUGUUCUAUUAAAUUUCCUCUUGUGGUAAAUCCAUAUAUCAUUUUUAAAGUGAAUUUGUGAUUCCCGCAAAAAAAGGUGAAUUUGUUACUUCUAACAUGCACUGGUAUGUGUGGUAUAAAUACUUAGUUUUAGCCCUAGGCUUUGGGAAAUCCUGCUCCGCCUCUGGGGCGAAAGCCUAGGUCAGACCUGAGUGGUCAUCCCUGGCAAUGACAAUGUUUUUUUAUGUCGUUACCUUGUUGGAGGCAUUGCUCGGAUAAGUCCGGGGUGUUUCAUCAGGGCAAAAACUUUGAUUCUGGUCUUUGUGGUUGGAUCCGGCCACGGCGGCGCUUGAGUGUCGUUUUUUUCCUGAAGGCCUUGGUGUUGAAAAUCCUCGUCAUCAAUGUGGUAUCGAUGGUAGGUGCGGAUAUGAUCUCAGUUGUAGUUUGUCGAUCGUUGAUCUGAUCGAUAAGGGCCUUUUUUCUUUUUUGUUUUCACACCUACGCAUAGCUGUUAUGACUUUACUAAUCACUUAUGUAUUUCCAUGUGUAUGUUGGGUUGGCUGUGUGCAUUCUAAUUAUUACAGAGGCCGGGUGUGUGCACGGUCCGGUUUUUCCCCGAAACCUAGGGCUCUCUGGCGGCGCUAGGGUUUCGACGUGGAAACUGACCGGCGGCCGCGGAUCUCAUCGGCGGGCCGCCCUAGGGAGAAGGCCGGGGCGAUGGCGACACCAUCCAUGGCGGAAGGAGCGCAGGAGAACGCCUCCUCGAGCCAACCCAGAUCGGCAAGGGAAAAACUAGAGGAAGCUCUAGGGAAGCUAGACAUAUCAGAGGAGGAGGCGACUCCCCUCGUGAUUGAUGAUCGCCUGGAUGGUGCUCCGGUGAAGUGGUUGCUGGCGGGGAAGGUUCUGCAUCGAAAUCAGUAUCACAUACACACCAUUGGCAACGCCCUUCGACCGGCAUGGGGAAACCCUAGAGGACUACAAUUCCGCUCAGUUGGCACGAACAUGUUUGUUGCUGAGUUUGAAGCACAGCGAGACCGCGACAGAGUUUGGGCGGGAUCGCCCUAGCACAUCAACAAGAAUGCGGUCAUAUUGGCUGAGUUUGAGGAGUGCAUGCGCCGAGAUGAAGUCAAGUAUGAUCGGCUGCAGGUGUGGGCUAGGGUUCUUAACCUGCCCUACAACCUGAGAGAUGACGCAUGGGGCCUCCCAAUCGCACGGAUGACCGACAAAGAGGUCAAGUUUGCAAAGUUUGAUCACAAUGGGGGCUAUCUCCGAGCUAGGGUUUCAGUGGAUGUCAACAAAUCGCUCAGGAGAUGGGUGCUUAUUGAUUCUGCAAGGAGGAAGAAGGUGGAUCCCUAUGAAAUUCAAUAUGAACAGAUCCCUACUUCUGCUUCUCCCGUGGACGGCUGGGCCAUUCGGAACUCUACUGCUCCAAUCCUACCCACGGUAGUACCGCUGCAGCCUUUUCAGAACACCAAAACUACCACAACUUUUGCAUUCGGACUCCGAAUUCGACGAAACCAAGUUUGUUGGAAAGCUAGCGACAAGGGCUAACACAAUCUUGAUAGAAAUACCAAUAAUAAGAAAAUGAGAAAAGGCCCAGAAGAAAAUGGUGAGAACCCUUCCUCGGAUAAGACCGGUAAAACCUCCAACACCGAAAACUUCAUAGAAGACGCAUGCAAACUCCGUUUUCGAUGAACUCAAGCUUGUCAUCAAGAUGACCAUAAGCUCUAAGACUCACAAAGAGAACCAAAUAAUAAUCAAGAAACAUGAUGCAAGGAUGCAAUGGUUUGAGCUCUCGACGAACGAUACGAUCAAGCUACUCACUUGAGAGCCCCCCUUGAUAGUACGGCUAUCGAUCCUAUAACCCGGUCUCCCAACUACCACCAUGAGACCGGUAAAAUAGAAAACCUAUCAAGGGCAAACCUUUGCCUUGCACAUGAUCCACUUGAGCUAGAUUAUGACGAUCUUGUCCUCCUCAAGAUGGACCACCUUUCUUGAUUGCGUUGGGUCGAUGGAGACUAGAUGAUUGCUCCCCCAUAUUCCACUAUGGGUGAGCCACUCUUCGGCACAUCUUCACAAGUCCAUUGACACCACAAUGGAUGGCAAGCUUCAAGCACUUGAUCUCUUCGUGAUUCUCCACUUGAACUUGCACACGGCAAUCUUGAUGACGAUCACCACUUGAUGUCAUCCUUUCCAUGGGUUGUAUGAUAUCUUCCUCUUGACGCAAGCCCAUGGACACAUACCUAACCCCACAUAGACUCUCACAUAGACCAUGGGUUAGUACACAAAGUGCAAUGGACAAUGCUUACCAUACCAUGGGAUCACUUGAUCCCUCUCGGUAUAUCUUCUACGCUUUGUGAGUUGAUCAACUUGAUUCACUCUUGACUUAGUCUUGAUCAACCUUGAAUCUUUCCAACUCUCUUCGUUUGGAUGAUGUCUUGAAGGUAAACAUGAAUGAUCACACAAUCUUCUUCUUCAAGACAUGCUUACAAUAAGCUCAACACUCACAUGACCAAUCUUUGGAUAAUUCCUUAAUAGCACCUUGGUCAACUCAUAAACUCCUUGAAACCAACACAUGUACUUCAAGAAAAACCUAUAGACAAAUCCUUCAAAUAUAACUCAAGACAACCAUUAGUCCAUAGAGAUUGUCAUCAAUUACCAAAACCAAACAUGGGGGCACCGCAUGUUCUUUCAAUGUGCCAGUGAAGGUCACGGAUGAUAUGAACGUGCAACUUACGAAGGCCUUUACUGCGGCGGAGGUCAGAACAACUUUGUUCCAAAUGGCACCCUCCAAAGCACCGGGAGUGGAUGGUUUCACUGCGAGGUUUUAUCAGCGUCAUUGGAGUUUAUUGGGUGAUACUGUAACCGCGGCGGUUCUGGACUUUUUGAUUGGAGGAGAACUACUAGUGGGAUUGAAUGACACCUCAAUCACUUUGAUUCCCAAGGUACGACACCCUCAGUACAUCUCACAAUAUAGACCUAUUGCUUUGUGUUUGGUUCUGUACAAGAUUGCUUCAAAAUGUGUGACUAACCGAAUGAGGGCAUUCAUGGAUGAGAUCAUCAGUGAAGAGCAAAGCGCUUUUAUUCCUGGACGUCUGAUAACUGAUAAUGUCUUAGUGGCAUAUGAAAGUGUGCACACAAUGAGGAAGCGGAAGAAAGAAAAGAACUACGCUUGUGCAAUCAAACUAGACAUGAUGAAAGCGUACGACCGAGUCGAGUGGCACUUUCUUGAGGCUAGUCUGAUAAAGUUGGGUUUCAACAUUGUCUUUGUCCGGUUAAUUAUGAAGUGUGUAUCGUCAGUACGUUUCUCUGUUCGUGUUAACGGAGAGCUACUGCCCUUUUUCACUCCCUCACGAGGAUUGAGGCAAGGUGACACGGCGUAGCCGUUCCUUUUUUUGCUAUAUGCGGAGGGUCUGUCUUCUUUGUUGAAGUACUACAAUGUCGGAUACAUUGACAGAGGCAUAAGAGUUAGCUAUCGAUCACAUUGGGUGACACACUUGCUAUUCGCAGAUGACAGUUUGAUCUUCAUCAGUGCAAACACCCAGAGUGCGGCUAGACUUAAUGAGAUUUUGAGAAUAUAUGGUGAAGCUUCGGGUCAUUGUGUUAAUCGAGCUAAGAGCGCCAUCUACUUCAGUUCGAAUACACCAGCCCAGCUCAAGCAUCAUUUGAAAGCCGUCCUCACCAUCGACGUUGAGGCUUUCAGUGAGCGUUACCUGGGACUGCCCACGGCGGUCGUUCGCACCACGAGCGGGACCUUCGAUCAUAUUGGGGAGAGAGCUCGCGGAAGGAUACAGGGAUGGUCUGAAAAAUUACUUGCAUGCGCAGGUCGUGAAACCUUGUUGAAAUCUGUGGUUCAGGCUAUUCCCACAUAUUCGAUGAGCACAUUCUUACUAUCGAAAAAGGUUUGCAAGAGCCUGACUUCACCAAUGGCGAAAUAUUUUUGGAGCAGCUCUAUUGACAAGAAUGCAUUGCAUUGGGUCUCCUGGAAUAAUCUGGCGAUACCAAAGUGCAAAGGAGGAAUGGGUUUUCGGGACCCUCAUCAGUUUAAUCUUGCUCUACUCGGAAAGCACGAUUGGCGGUUUAUGACUAACCCUAAUUCUCUGUGCGCGAGGGUUCUUAAAGGUCGCUACUUCCCUGAUACAGAUUUUAUGCAUGCCACGGUGCCAAAGUCUGCAUCAGCUACACGGCGAGCUAUCAUUGCAGGAAGGGAAGCUUUGCGUGCGGGACUCAUUAAGAGAGUCGGAGACGGGUGUUGGGGAACGUAGAAGAAAUUCAAAAUUUUCUACGCAUCACCAAGAUCAAUCUAUGGAGUAAUCUAGCAACGAGGGGAAGGGGAGUGCAUCUACAUACCCUUGUAGAUCGCUAAGCGGAAGCAUUGCAAGAACGCGGUUGGUGGAGUCGUACUCGCAGUGAUUCAGAUUGCGGUCGAUUCCGAUCUAAGCGCCGAACGGACGGCGCCUCCGCGUUCAACACACGUACAGCCCGGGGACGUCUCCUCCUUCUUGAUCCAGCAAGGGGAGAGGCGAAGUUGAGGGAGAACUCCAGCAGCACGACGGCAUGGUGGCGAUGGAGCUCGUGCUUCUCCAGUAGGGCAUCGCCAAGCACUAUGGAGGAGGAGGAGGUGUAGGAGGAGGGAGGGUUGUGUCAGGGAAGAGGUAUUGCUGCCCUCCCACCCCUCCACUAUAUAUAGGGGCAAGGGGAGAGGGGGAGGCGCCCUAGGGUUUCCCCUAGGGGGCGGCGGCCAAGCAGAUUGGGUCUCCCUAGGGAAAAUCCUAGGGAGACUUGCCCCCCAAGCCAAGUAGGUGGAGGCUUGCCUCCCAAGCCAGGUGGAGGCGCCCCACAUCCCCAAGUAACGUGGGAAAGGGUGCGGGGGGCGCACCACCCCUUAGUGGGCUGGUUUGCCCCUUCCCCUUUGGCCCAUGAGGCCCUCCAACACUUGUCGGGGCUCCCGAAACACCUUUCGGUCAUGCUGGCCAUAGCCUGGUACCCCCGAAACACUUCCGGACUCCAAUACCCUUUGUCCAAUAUAUCGAUCUUCAUCGCCGGACCAUUCCGGAGCUCCUCAUGACGUCCGGGAUCACAUCCGACACUCCGACCUACCUUCGGUAACCACAUACUAUUUUCCAUAACAACUCUAGCGUCACCGAACCUUAAGUGUGUAGACCCUACGGGUUCGGGAACCAUGCAGACAUGACCGAGACACCUCUCCGGCCAAUAACCAAUAGCGGGAUCUGGAUACCCAUAUUGGCUCCCACAUGUUCCACGAUGAUCUCAUCGGAUGAACCAUGAUAUCGGGGAUUCGAUCAAUCCCGUAUUCAAUUCCCUUUGUCUAGCGGUAUUUGUACUUGCCCGAGAUUCAAUCGUCGGUAUCCCGAUACCUUGUUCAAUCUCGUUACCGGCAAGUCUCUUUACUUGUUGCGUAACACAUCAUCCCGUGAUCAACCCCUUGGUCACAUUGUGCACAUUAUGAUGAUGUCCUACCGAGUGGGCCCAGAGAUACCUCUCCGUCACACGGAGUGACAAAUCCCAGUCUCGAUUCGUGCCAACCCAACAGACACUUUCGAAGAUACCCGUAGUGCACCUUUAUAGCCACCCAGUUACGUUGUGACGUUUGGUACACCCAAAGCACUCCUACGGUAUCCGGGAGUUGCACAAUCUCAUGGUCUAAGGAAAUGAUACUUGACAUUAGAAAAGCUUUAGCAUACGAACUACACAAUCUCUGUGCUAGGCUUAGGAUUGGGUCUUGUCCAUCACAUCAUUCUUCUAAUGAUGUGAUCCCGUUAUCAACGACAUCCAAUGUACAUGGUCAGGAAACCGUAACCAUCUAUUGAUCAACGAGCUAGUCAACUAGAGGCUUACUAGGGACAUGGUGUUGUCUAUGUAUCCACACAUGUAUCUGAGUUUCCUAUCAAUACAAUUAUAGCAUGGAUAAUAAAUGAUUAUCAUGAACAAGGAAAUAUAAUAAUAAUGAUAACUAAUUUAUUAUUGCCUCUAGGCAUAUUUCCAACAGUCUCCCACUUGCGCUAGAGUCAAUAAUCUAGUUCACAUCGCCAUGUGAUUAACACUCACAGGUCACAUCGCCAUGUGACCAACAUCCAAAGAGUUUACUAGAAUCAAUAAUCUAGUUCACAUCACUAUGUGAUUAACACUCAAUGAGUUCUAGGUUUGAUCAUGUUAUGCUUGUGAGAGAGGUUAUUAGUCAACGGGUCUGAAUCUUUCAGAUCCGUGUGUGCUUUACAAAUCUCUAUGUCAUCUCCUAGAUGCAGCUACCACGCUCUAUUUGGAGCUAUUCCAAAUAACUGUUCUACUAUAUGAAUCCGGUUUACUACUCAGAAUAAUCCGGAUUAGUGUCAAAGUUUGCAUCGGCGUAACCCUUUACGACGAACUCUUUUACCACCUCCAUAACCGAGAAACAUGUCCUUAUUCCUCUAAGGAUAAUUUUGACCGCUAUCUGGUGAUCCACUCCUUGAUCACCUUUGUACCCUCUUGCCAGACAUGUGGCAAGGCACACAUCAGGUGCGAUACUCAGCAUGGCAUACCGUAUAGAGCCUAUCACAAAAGCAUAGGGGACGACCUUCGUCCUUCCUCUUUCUUCUGCCGUGGUCAUGUCUUGAGUCUUACUCAAUACUCACACCAUACAACACAGCCAAGAACUCCUUCUUUGCCGAUCUAUUUUGAAAACCUUCAAAAUCUUGUCAUGGUAUGUGUUUGUUUGAAAGUACUAUUAAGCGUUUUGAUCUAUCCUUAUAGAUCUUGAUGCUCAAUGUUCAAGUAGCUUAAUCCAAGGUUUCCAUUGAAAAACACUUUUCAAAUAACCCUUUAUGCUUUCCAGAAAUUCUACAUUAUUUCUGAUAAACAAUAUUUCAACAACAUAUACUCAUCAGAAAUGCUAUAGUGCUCCCACUCACUUCUUUGGAAAUACAAGUUUCUCAUAAACUUUGUAUAAACCCAAAAUCUUUGAUCAUCAAAGUGUAUAUUCCAACUCCGAGAUGCUUACUCCAGUCCUUAGAAGGAUUACUGAAACUUUGCAUACUUGUUAGCAUCUUUCAGGAUUGACAAAACCUUCUGGUUGUAUCACAUACAACCUUUCCUCAAGAAAAUCGUAGAGGAAACAAUGUUUUUUUACAUCCUAUCUGCAAGAUUUCAUAAAUAAUGCAGUAACUGCUAAUAUAAUUCCAACAGACUCUUAGCAUCGCUAUGAGUGAGAAAGUCUCAUCGUAGUCAACUCCUUGAACUUGUCGGAAAACAUCUUAGCGACAAGUCGAGAUUUCUUAAUGGUGACACUUACCAUAAUUGUCUGUCUUCCUUUUAAAAUCCAUCUAUACUCAACAGCUUUACGACCAUCGAGUAGUUCUUACAAAGUCUACACUUUGUUUUAUACAUGGAUCCUCUCUCGGAUUUAUGGCCUUGAGCCAUUCGUCGGAAUCCGGGCCCACCAUCGCUUCUCCAUAGCUCGUAGGUUCAUUGUUGUCUAGCAACAUGACCUUCAAAACAUGAUUACUGUACUACUCUGAAGUACUACACAUCCUUGUCGACCUACGAGGUUUGGUAUUGACCUGAUCCGAAGUUUCAUGAUCACUAUCAUAAGCUUCUACUUCAAUUGGUGUAGGCGUCACAGGAACAACUUCCUGUGCCCUUCUACACACUAGUGAUGGUUCAAUAACCUUAUCAAGUCUACACCUUCCUCCCACUCAAUUCUUUCGAGAGAAACUUUUCCUCGAGAAAGGACCCGUUUCUAGAAACAGUCACUUUUGUUUCCGGAUCUGAAAUAGGAGGUAUACCCAACUGUUUGGGUAUUCUAUGAAGAUGCAUUUAUCCGCUUUGGGUUCGAGCUUAUCAAGAUGAAACUUUUUCACAUAAGUGUCGCAGCCCCAAACUUUCAAGAAAUGAUAGCUUAGGUUUCUCUAAACCAUAGUUCAUACGGUGUCAUCUCAACGAAAUUACGUGGUGCCCUAUUUAAAGUGAAUGUGGUUGUCUCUAAUGCCUAACCCAUAAACGGUAGUGGUAAUUCGAUAAGAGACAUCAUGGUAUGCCCCAUAUCCAAUAGGGUGCAUCUAUGAUGUUCGGACACACCAUCACACUAUGGUGUUCCAGACGGUAUUAGUUGUGAAAUAAUUUCCACAAUGUCUUAAUUGUAUACCAAAUUCAUAACUCAGAUACUCAUCUCUAUGAUCAUAUCAUAGACAUUUUAUCCUCUUGCCACGACGAUCUUCAACUUCACUCUGAAAUUACUUGAACCUUUCAAUAAUUCAGAUUUGUGUUUCCUCGAGUAAACAUACUCAGAAUCUACUCAAAUCAUCUGUGAAGUAAGAACAUAACGAUAUCCACUGCAUGCCUCAACACUCAUUAGACUGUACACAUCAAAAUGUAUUACUUCCAACAAGCUGCUUUCUUGUUCCAUCUUACUGAAACCGAGACUUUUCAGUCAUCUUGCCCAUGUGGUAUGAUUUGCAUGUGUCAAGUGAUUCAACAUCAAGUGAGUCCAAACGAUCCAUCUGCAUGGAGUUUCUUCAUGCGUAUACACCAAUAGACAUGAUUCGCAUGUCUCAAACUUUUCAAAAAACGUGUGAGUCCAAAGAUCCAUCAACAUGGAGCUUCUUCAUGCGUUUUAUACCAAUAUGACUUACAUGGCAGUGCCACAAGUAGGUGGUACUAUCAUUACUAUCUUAUAUCUUUUGGCAUGAACAUGUGUAUCACUACGAUCGAGAUUCAAUAAACCAUUCAUUUUAGGUGCAAGACCAUUGAAGGUAUUAUUCAAAUAAACAGAGUAACUAUUAUUCUCCUUAAUGAAUAACCGUAUUGCGAUAGACAUAAUCCAAUCAUGUCUAUGCUCAACGCAAACACCAAAUAAUAAUUAUUUAGGUUUAACACCGAUCCCGAUGGUAGAGGGAGCGUGCGACGUUUGAUCACAUCAACCUUGGAAAUACUUCCAACACAUAUCGUCACCUCGCCUUUAGCUAGUCUCCGUUUAUUCCUUAGCCUUUUAUUUCGAGUUACUAACACCUAGCAACCGAACCGGUAUCUAUUACCAUGGUGCUACUAGGAGUACUAGUAGAGUACACAUUAAUAUAAUGUAUAUCCAAUAUACUUCUAUCGACCUUGCAUGCCUUCUUAUCUACCAAGUAUCUAGGGUAAUUCUGCUCCAGUGACAAUUCCCCUUAUUACAGAAGCACUUAGUCUCGGGUUUGGGUUCAACCUUAGGUUUCUUCACCAGAGCAGCAUCUGAUUUGCCGUUUCAUGAAGUAUCCCUUCUUGCCCUUGCCCUUCUUGAAACUAGUGGUUUCACUAACCAUCAACAAUUGAUGCUCCUUCUUGAUUUCUACUUUCGUGGUGUCAAACAUCGCGAAUAUUUCAAGGAUCAUCAUAUCUAUCCCUGAUAUGUUAUAGUUCAUCACGAAGCUCUAGUAGCUUGGUGGCAAUGACUUUGGAGAAACAUCACUAUCUCAUCUGGAAGAUCAACUCCCACUCGAUUCAAGUGAUUGUUGUACUCAGACAAUUUUGAGCACAAGCUCAACGAUUGAGCUUUUCUUCCUUAGUUUGUAGGCUAAGAAAAUCGGCGGAGGUCUUAUACUUCUUGACGUGGGCACGAGCCUGAAAUCCCAAUUUCAGCCCCCGAAACAUCUCAUAUGUUUCGCGACAUUUCGAAAUUGUCUUCGGUGCCUCAAUUCUAAACCGUUUAACUGAACUAUCACGUAGUUAUCAAAAUGUGUAUGUCAAAUGUUCGCAACAUUCACAGACGACGUUUGAGGUUCAGCACAUCGAGCGGUGCAUUAAGGAUAUAAGCCUUCUACGCAGCAAUGAGGACAAUCCUCAGUUUACGGACCCAGUCCGCAUAAUUGCUACUAUCAACUUUCAACUAAAUUUUCUCUAGGAACAUAUCUAAAAAGGUAGAAUUUAAGCGCAAGCUACGACAUAAUUUGCAAAAAACCUUUUGACUAUGUUUAGGAUAAUUAAGUUUAUCUUAUGAACUCCCACUCAGAUAGACAUCCCUCUAGUCAUCUAAGUGAUUACAUGAUCCGAAUCAACUAGGCCAUGUCCGAUCAUCACGUGAGAUGGACUAGUCAUCAUCGGUGAAUAUCUUCAUGUUGAUCGUAUCUACUAUACGACUCAUGCUCGACCUUUCGGUCUCUUGUGUUCCGAGGCCAUGUCUGUACAUGCUAGGCUUGUCAAGUGAACCUAAGUGUUUCGCGUGUGUAAAUAUGGCUUACACCCGUUGUAUAUGAACGUUAGAAUCUAUCACAACCGAUCAUCACGUGGUGCUUUGAAACAACGAACUUCCGCAACGGUGCACAGUUAGGGGGGACACUUUCUUAAAAUUUUAAUGAGGGAUCAUCUUAUUUAAUCUACCCUCGUUCUAAGCAAAUAAGAUGUAAAACAUGAUAAACAUCACAUGCAAUCAAAUAGUGACAUGAUAUGGCCAAUAUCAUUUUGCUCCUUUGAUCUCCAUCUUCGGGGCGCCAUGAUCAUCUUCGUCACCGGCAUGACACCAUGAUCUCCAUCAUCAUGAUCUCCAUCAUCGUGUCUCCAUGAAGUUGUCUCGCCAACUAAUUACUUCUACUACUAUAGCUAACAGAUUAGCAAUAAAGUAAAGUAAUUACAUGGCGUUGUUCAAUGACACGCAGGUCAUACAAUAAAUUAAGACAACUCCUAUGGCUCCUGCCGGUUAUCAUAUUCAUCGACAUGCAAGUCAUGAUUCCUAUUACAAGAACAUGAUCAAUAUCAUACAUCACAUAUCAUUCAUCACAUUCUUUUGGCCAUAUCACAUCACAUAGCAUACCUUGCAAAAACAAGUUAGACGUCCUCUAAUUGUUGUUUGCAUGUUUUACAUGGCUGCUAUGGGUUUCUAGCAAGAACGUUUCUUACCUACGCAAAAACCACAACGUGAUAUGCCAAUUACUAUUUACCCUUCAUAAGGACCCUUUUCAUCGAAUCCGAUCCGACUAAAGUGGGAGAGACUGGCACCCGCUAGCCACCUUAUGCAACAAGUGCAUGUCAGUCGGUGGAACCUGUCUCACGUAAGUGUACGUGUAAGGCCGGUCCGGGCCGCUUCAUCCCCCGAUGCCGCCGAAUCAAGAUAAGACUAGUAACGGCAAGUAAAUUGACAAAAUCGACGCCCACAACUGCUUUGUGUUCUACUCGUUCAUAGAAACUACGCAUAGAUCUAGCUCAUGAUGCCACUGCUGGGGAACGUAGCAGAAAUUCAAAAUUUUCUACGCAUCACCAAGAUCAAUCUAUGGAGUAAUCUAGCAACGAGGGGAAGGGGAGUGCAUCUACAUACCCUUGUAGAUCGCUAAGCGGAAGCGUUGCAAGAACGCGGUUGGUGGAGUCAUACUCGCAGCGAUUUAGAUCGCGGUCGAUUCCGAUCUAAGCGCCAAACGGACGGCGCCUCCGCGUUCAACACACGUACAGCCUGGGGACGUCUCCUCCUUCUUGAUCCAGCAAGGGGAGAGGAGAAGUUGAGGGAGAACUCCAGCAGCACGACGGCAUGGUGGCGAUGGAGCUCGUGGUUCUCCAGCAGGGCUUCGCCAAGCACUAUGGAGGAGGAGGAGGUGUAGGAGGAGGGAGGGCUGCGCCAGGGAAGAGGUAUUGCUGCCCUCGCACCCCUCCACUAUAUAUAGGGGCAAGGGGAGAGGGGAAGACGCCCUAGGGUUUCCCCUAGGGGGCGGCGGCCAAGCAGAUUGGAUCUCCCUAGGGAAAAUCCUAGGGAGACUUGUCCCCCAAGCCAAGUAGGUGGAGGCUUGCCUCCCAAGCCAGGUGGAGGCGCCCCACCUCCCCAAGUAACGUGGGAAAGAGUGUGGGGGGCGCACCACCCCUUAGUGGGCUGGUUUGCCCCUUCCCCUUUGGCCCAUGAGGUCCUCCAACACUUGUCGGGGCUCCCGAAACACCUUUCGGUCAUGCUGGCCAUAGCCUGGUACCCCGGAACACUUCCGGACUCCAAUACCCUUCGUCCAAUAUAUCGAUCUUCACCGCCGGACUAUUCCGGAGCUCCUCGUGACGUCCGGGAUCACAUCCGGGACUCCGAACUACCUUCGGUACUAUUUCCCAUAACAACUCUAGCGUCACCGAACCUUAAGUGUGUAGACCCUACGGGUUCGGGAACCAUGCAGACAUGACCGAGACACCUCUUCGGCCAAUAACCAAUAGCGGGAUCUGGAUACCCAUAUUGGCUCCCACAUGUUCCACGAUGAUCUCAUCGGAUGAACCACGAUGUCGGGGAUUCGAUCAAUCCCGUAUACAAUUCCCUUUGUCUAGCGGUAUUUGUACUUGCCCGAGAUUCGAUCGUCGGUAUCCCGAUACCUUGUUCAAUCUCGUUACCGGCAAGUCUCUUUACUCGUUCCGUAACACAUCAUCCCGUGAUCAACCCCUUGGUCACAUUGUGCACAUUAUGAUGAUGUCCUACCGAGUGGGCCCAGAGAUACCUCUCCGUCACAUUGAGUGACAAAUCCCAGUCUUGAUUCGUGACAACCCAACAAACACUUUCGGAGAUACCCGUAGUGCACCUUUAUAGCCACCCAGUUACGUUGUGACGUUUGAUACACCCAAAGCACCCCUACGGUAUCCGGGAGUUGCACAAUCUCAUGGUCUAAGGAAAUGAUACUUGACAUUAGAAAAGCUUUAGCAUACGAACUACACGAUCUCUGUGCUAGGCUUAGGAUUGGGUCUUAUCCAUCACAUCAUUCUCCUAAUGAUGUGAUCCCGUUAUCAACGACAUCCAAUGUACAUGGUCAGGAAACCGUAACCAUCUAUUGAUCAACGAGCUAGUCAACUAGAGGCUUACUAGGGACAUGCUGUUGUCUAUGUAUCCAUACAUGUAUCUGAGUUUCCUAUCAGUACAAUUAUAGCAUGGAUAAUAAACGAUUAUCAUGAACAAAGAAAUAUAAUAAUAAUAAUAAUAACUAAUUUAUUAUUGCCUCUAGGGCAUAUUUCCAACAACGGGAACUCCAUUGAUGUGUGGGCUGCUAAACGGAUCCCCGGGACGAUCUAGAUGACACCGUUGCUGAAACCACCGAACACUAUACUUCGGAAAGUCUCGGAUCUUAUAGAUCCCGAGAACUGGUCAUGGAGGCAUGAGUUGAUUCGAACUACAUUCAUUGCUCCUGAUGCUGACGCCAUUCUGAACAUCCCAAUCAGGAGGGGCGGAGGUGACGAUUCUUAUGCUUGGGCUUUUGAAAGAUCAGGCAACUAUACUGUUAAGUCGGCGUACCGUGCUCUAGUGACUCAGAACGAGCGUUUUGCUCAAAAGGAAGGGGCGGUUACCGGUGCUUCAACAGAUGACAAACAGAUAUGGUCUGCCCUGUGGAAACUCAAAGUGAUCCCAAAGGUACGAGUGUUGUGGUGGAGGGUACUACGAGGGAUUCUACCGGAUGAAUGCACUCUCAAAUACCGUCAUCAGGGCCGGGCCCAUAGUGGUGCAAACUGUGCGGCCCGCACAGGGCCCAUAAAUUUGAGGGGCCCCAAAAUGUUAUACAGACCUAGGCACUGGGCCUGGGCUGCUGUGGCGUUCGCUCGCGUCCGUGGAUCGUACCCUAAAAGAAAAUAGAAAGAUCCAUCGAUUGUGGGUAUGCCGUCUCCGACGCUCGCGAUUUUCCAUCCAGGAUGCCAGCGCCGCCUGACUUGCGUCGUGAGUCGAGACGAUCGCGUCCCGCCGUCCCCGACUCCCGUCCCGAACGCAGGCACAGGCACCAGGCCGCCGGACCUGCCUCCCGGUUCCUGCUUCUAGAACAAACCGAAGCGGCGAACAAAAAAUCGAUCCUCUAUUCGUCUGCCUUCCAACCCAGCGAUAUGCGAUUGUUCUCCAAUCAAGUGCCUGGUGAGUCGAUCCUCCUUUUGUCUUUUGACUACUAAUUAUAUCCUAACUAAAUUUCUUAUUGAUUUUGGCUAUUUAAUCCUAACUAAAUUUCGGCAGGGAUCUUUAGGCCUAGCAAUCGUUUCUUGACUUCUCGAUCGAUGAUUGCUCUAUAGACUAGGUCAGUUAGACUUAGCAAUUUUUCAUAUUUCCAGUAGUCCAAUUUUAUUUUAUUCAUCUCCGUGCAGUGCAUUGGCAGAAUGGAGAUUUUUCUAAUUUGAAGCUAUUGAAGUCCUAUAUGUGUACUACUACCACACAAAAAAGACUCAAUAUUUAGCCACAAUAUCACUUGAAAGCGAAGUGUUGGAGAGGAUUGAUUACGAGGUUAUCAUUGAAGAUUUCAUUUCAAAGAAUACUAAAAGAAGGAUGAUGUUCAAAUAAACACUAUGCAACCUGGAGUUGAAUAGGUAUGAUUUUUAUAUAUCCAGUUGUGUUACGUAAGACAUUAUUAUAUCAUAUACAUUAUAAUUACUUGUUAGUUUUUUUCUAGUAAGAUAGGGCCCCGUUUUUAAGUUUCGCACAGGGCCCCAGAUUUUGGUGGCCCGGCCCUGACCGUCAUAUUGCAGUUUUAGACACUUGCAAGGUUUGUCUGGCUAAGGAGGAGGAUCUUAUGCAUGCCCUAAUUCAAUGCUCGCAUGCACGCCGCUUCUGGGAUGAGACGUGUGCGUGGUUUGGUCUUCGGCUACCUCGCUUACACCCACGUUCAUGGGCCAAAGACAUCCUAUGUGGAGACCGAGUCAAGGAUGAAGAUCGAGCAAAGAUUAUCACCAUCAUGUGGACGAUUUGGCAUUCUCGAAAUUGGAUCAAACAUGGGGAAGAAGGAAGGGAUCCAAAAGCUGCCAUCAGGGCGACGAGAGAGGCUCUUGCACUGCUGGAACUGCCUCGGUCAGUUCCCAUGUUGUUACCAGGACAUGGCUGGCGGCCGCCCGAGCCAGGGAUGGUGAAGAUCAUGACGGAUGGUGCACUUAACGUCGCGGAAGGAAGAGGAGGGACGGAUGGUAUAGCUCGUUCCGCGUCUGCGAUGUUGGGAGCAUGGUGCAAGCCGUUCGUUCAGAUCUCAGAUCCUUUUUUAAUGGAAGCUAUAUCAAUGCGGGAAGGAGUUCUAUUUGCAAAGCUUCGAGGCCUCUCGCAUGUGAUAUUGGAGACAGAUUGCCAGGAGUUGGUACAACUCUGGAACACUCGCCACAAUUCGCGUCGAUUGUGGCUCCUAUCUUAGAUGAAAUAGGAGAGCUAGCUUUUGAUUUUUUAGUUUUUGAGAUUCAGCAUGUAACCAGGUCAGCAAACUUGCCGGCGCAUUUCUGUGCAAAACGUGCAUGCACUUUGAAUGUGACCGAUUGCUGGGUUGACGAGACUCCUAAUUUCUUGGUAAGCAGCCUUCUAGCUGACUGCCGGGACAACUCUUUUGUUGAAUAAAACGCUCUCUGAAUUGCCCGCAAAAAAAAGAGGCCGGGUGUGUGCCUUUCAUACCUGUUGGUUUCAAAAUCUUUGAACUUUUUUCAAAUUCAUGAAAAUUUACAAUUUUUAAAAUUUUCAUAUUCGUGGACUUUUUUAUAUACACAAACCUUUACAAAUUCAUAAAAAUUUUAUUUUUUGAUAUUUUUAUUAAAUACUAAAAUUAUAAAACAGCUGGGAGCAGCAAAAUAAAGAAAAAAAACUGAAGCGAGUAACCUACCUACUGACAGAUGAACUAUGUACUGGGCCAGGGCCAGAACAACCGCCAUUUUUUAGUGGUUAAAACGGCCGCCAACUAGGAGGUCUCGACGGUGUAGCCCGAACUCGGCCCGGAUGUCCGCUCAGUGAUUCAGAAAACUUAGUGAAGUCCUGAUGGCCGCGACUGCAAAGCAAGCACAAGCCGGCUAGGACAAUGCGGAACGCUGGUAGCCCAGUAGUAAGCACGUAGGGAGAUAUACAUUGAACACUAUUGUAUGUAUCUAAAACACAAUACAUAUUGAUUGAUUAUAGUAUCCUGCACCACAUAUAUAUUUACUUGUAAAUUUUUGUUGGUUUAACUUGUAUGGCUUGGUUAGCUUCUUGGCCCAGGCAGCAUUUUCAGGCGUCCCAUUUGGGAUGCCUGGGUUUGGGAUUGCUGCCUGGCAGGUGAGCUGCCUCGGAGGAAUCCAUCCAAACUCACCCUUAGUGUGGCUCUUUCGUUUGUCAAACUUUUUUUUCUUUUGUGUGGUCACUUAACCCUAUAACAAUUUAUUAUUGUGCAUACAAUCUACUGGUAAUAUUUUGUUGCGGAAGAAUUCGACUAUUUGUGAUUUGUGAAAAGAAAUUGCACAUAGUAUAAACAAUCAUAUUUAUAAAGAAAUAUCAAUUUACUUAUGUAAGCCUUACACCUUACAUACAAUAAUUUUUGUAAGAGUUUCAGAAAUUUCUAGAACAAUGUUUAGCGGAAACUUGCCACGGAUAAAAGUGUUCCGGAAUGUGAAUAGUUUAAUGGGUUAAGUGGGUCUAAAUAAAUAUAGGGAAAAUAUGUGAGACAGGCAACAAAUUUAGGAGAAACUAGGUAGGCCAAAAGCCCUAUUAAUUUUAGCGGAAGAAUUGACAACUUCAAAUAUGUGACACAAUCAUACAUUUUUUUGUCACGAACAGUUGACAACUUCAAAUAAAAACAACAUACUUGCAAAGACCACCUUUUGUGUCGAAAUAGGCUUUCGCCAUGCUUUUAUAAAUAAAGCAACCAUCAUGUCCAUCAAACAAGUAUAAAAUCACUCAGCAUAAGCGCGUCCGAAGAACUUUGUUGAGUUUAUCUUGUACUCCAUCCAAAAGUCUAAAUAUAUAUUUAGGAACGGGGGAGUAGAAGUUAGAAACGGCAUUGUAAUUAAGAACAAGAUCAAACAUCUUUCUUAACUUAUUUUAUUUUCCUGAACAGUUGAUAACAUCAAUAUCAAACAAGAAAAGUUGAAUUAAAUCUGGUGGCCGGCGUCUGCAUGGCAUGCAUUCUCAGGGGCGAAGUAGAUCCUGCCAGCACUAACGUCGUAGACAAAGCGCUUGUCCACUUGCUGCAUCGCGCCGAUGAUGGUGAUGUCGUUGCUCCGCACCACGGCGAGGCAGAUGUCGUGCCCCACUGCGACGAAGAGCCGUUGUGGCGGCAGCACGAGCCGCGCUUCAGCCUCGGCGAACUGCAGCGUCACCGUGGGCAGGUGCUGCCAGAGCUGCGACGUCGCACGGAAGCAGAGAUGGUACUCGACGCGCGACACAAUUGGCACCCGGAGCGGCUUGAGGUGGUCGACCACGGCGUCCUUGAGCUUUUCGUAAGCGGGCGCUACCAUCACCAUUGCCGCUGUCCCAGCAUCGAAUGCGCAUCCGCCGGUCCACCUGCCAUCAUGGAGGUGGCGCUUGAACAGCUCGCCGAUAUGCUCCAGCUGCCGCCCGCCGACGCUGACGCCCGCGAGGGUGACGAAGUAGGCACUGAAAUCUCGGCUGGUGAUGAAGUUCAUGUACAAGAUCUUGGUGCUCACCAUGUGUUGGGUGUGCGGGAUGUCGUCGCCGAACCGGAGAAAGGUGUGGUGGUCCGGCGAGCCGUGGCUAGGGAGGCAGUAAGAGAAGCGAUGCACUUGCACGGCACCAUGCCUGUGUUGGCUGAGCGUCCAGAUGAGCGACGGGGCCUGCCUUCCCAGGCCGAGCACCCCGGCGAGCACUCCGUGGCUGUUGAAGUUGAAGCCCUCGCCGCUGUGCGUGCAGCCAAUGACGACGCCAGCAACCUUCGCCUCCUGGCCGGCGGCCGCGAAGGCUAAGGUCUCGUUGCUCAGGACGCCUCUCGCAUCGAUGCCGUGAAGUCCGAUGCUACGAAACUUGCAUGGGUCUUGAACUGUGGGCCGAUGCCCAUGAGCGGGCGGCAAGCAGAACCUGCUGUUGCCCGGUACAUGGCGGAACGACGACGACUUGGCAGGCUCGAAGGGCGGCGGCUGCUGUGCGAAAGGCUUUUGGACCGGCUUGCACUGCAUCCACAGUUCGCUGCUGGUCAUAUCCAGCGCGAGGACGUACGUGCGUCGGCCGGCCCCCGUCCCAACGCUGGUGACGACGCUGUACUUGCCCCCAAUUUGUGUGUGCAUGGGGGGGCGAAGCGCGGUGGUGGCGUCCUCAUUCAGGUGCACGAAGCCGUCGUCGUCGACGUGGAUGCUACGGUUCCAGCCGGGGCUGGGUACCAGCCGCAGGCUGAAGCCACCGCCGCCGCGGUCUGGUGUGCCAUCACCUACAGCGACGACAUCAGCCGGGUGGAGGAGCGCCGCAAGCACUAGAGGAAGGAGGAGAGCGCAGGCGGCGAGCCUCAUGGACAUUUCUGUUGCAGCAAUGCUUGUUGGUGUUUGAUGGCUUAGUAGUUCGGUUUUUCGCAAACCCAGAUUUGACGUGUAUAUAUAUUGGAGGGGAGGGUUUGCCGCAUUUACUACGAAGGGAGAAUCCGUUUCUGAGAUUUGCAUCUAUCUUGCAGAUAUCUACGGACGAGAUACACACACAUUAAUUCAUGCCAUUCUUGAAUUAAUGGUGCAAAUCGGAAAGAGUGAUAGAUAGAGGCAAAAAAAUGCAUAUCCCAUGCAGCAGAUACGUAUGGAGCAAAUACGCACAAAUUAAUUCAUGCCAUUCUUGAAUUAGGCUCUGUUUGGUUCAUAAGUCCUAAGACUUUUUUUAGUCCCAACUUAUAAGUCCCAAGUCCUCAAAAAGUCCCUACCUGUUUGGUUUCUGUGACUUAUAAGUCCUUAUAAGACCAUAUUACCACUAUAAGUCCCUAUAAGACUCUCCUUGAGAGUCUUAUUUCAUAAGUUCCAAAUGCCCACUUUAAGUCCCUAUAAGUCCCUCCUGUUUGGUUUAGAUGGGACUUAUAGAGACUUUUUUAAGUCCCUAAACUAAUAAGUCCCUCGAAACAAACACUCUCUUAAUGGUGCAAAUCGGAAAGAGUGAUAGAUAGAGGCGAAACAACAAGAAACUGCAUAUCCCUUGCAGAUACCUACGGAGGAGAUACACACACAUUAAUUCAUGCCAUUCUUGAAUUAAUGGUGCAAAUCGGAAAAAGUGAUAGAUAGAGGCAAAAAAAUGCAUAUCCCUUGCAGAUACCUAUGGAGGAAAUGCGCACAAAUUAAUUCAUGCCAUUCUUGAAUUAGUGGUGCAAAUCGGAAAGAGUGAUAGAUAGAGGCGAAACAACAAGAAACUGCAUAUCCCUUGCAGAUACCUAUGGAGGAAAUACGCACAAAUUAAUUCAUGCCAUUCUUGAAUUAAUGGUGCAAAUAAGAAAGAGUGAUAGAUAGUAGAGAUGUUUUUGGAGUGGCGUCAAUUAAAUUGAAGCUGCUGGGUUUGCGAAAAAGCGAUGGUGACGGCACAUGCGUGACUUUGAUGGUGGUUAUGCGAGCACCUGGUCUCGAGCUCCAGGGUGAAAAUCCAGGUCAGACCCGAGUGGUCAUCCCUGGAAAUAGCGAUGUUUUUUAUGUCGUUACUUUGUUGGAGGCAUUGCUCAGAUACGUUCAGUCUAGACCUGAUCAUUCCUUGGGCUGGGCCGGGUUGGGCCCGGGCAUCCGGCCCGGCCCGAAGCACAGGAACAAUGACAUUUUCAAUUAAAAUAAUAUUAUUUGGGUUUUUAAAAUAAUAAACUAUACCUAUAUUCCAAAUAAAAUAUAGAUUUAUGGGCAUUUGCGGCUUAUUCUGAGCUUUUGGGCCGGGCUUCGGGCCAAAAAAUGGAGCCCAGGCCUGGCCCGGAUGCCAGGCUUUUGGGGUCAGGCCUCCAGGCCGGGCUAUCCAUGCACAGGUUUAGUUCAGACUGUUUCAUCAACGUGAAAAAAUUGAUUCUGGCCUUUGUGGUUGGAUCCGGCGACGGCAGCACUUGAGUGUCGCUUUCUUUCUGAAGGCGUCGGUGUGGAAAAUCCUCAUCAUCAAUGUGGUGUCAACGGUUGGUGCCGAUAUGAUCUUAGAUAUAGUUUGUCGAUCGCUGAUCUGAUCGAUUUGGGGUGUUUUCUUUUUCUUUUUCUUUUUUCACGCUUACGCAUAGCUUUUGCUCUUAUGACUUUACUAGUCGCUGGUGUGUUUUCGUGCGUGUGUGUGUGUGUGUUGGGUUGGCAGUGUGCAUUCUAAUUAUACAGAGACCGGGUGUGUGCCUUCCAUACCCGUACCCGGCCUACCCAAUGGGUACAUUUUUUUUUCAUUCUAGUUAUGCAGAGGCCAGGUUUGUUGCCCAAUAAUUUGAUGAAACGCCGUCAAAUAGGGAAUUCCGCGUAUGUAUGACAAACUCAAUAUAUAUUGCUCGAUAAAUGUAUCCCACUCUACAUUAUACUAGUAAUAUUUUGUUGCAGAAUUUAACUAUUUGUGAGCAAUUAGGCAAAAAACCUAUUGUUCGAGGAAAUCGAUUUUAAAAGUUGAGAAAUGUUUGUGCUUUGCAGUGAUCCAUAGAAACUGUAUAGGUGCAAAGAUCACCAUUGGUUGUGCCGAUGCUUAAUUGAGUUUACUUGUAAAUAUAAAUUAAAAAUGCACGACCACAAAAACCACUCUACAUGUCACGCCUGACAUUGCUUCCUUCAUUGCAUCCACCCUACAAUGUCCAGUCUCCUCUUUCCCGCAGAUCUACCUAGGACUCCCUCUAGCGCCUACUCGCCUGCCCGUCAAUGCAUUUCCUCUAGCGCCUACUCGCCUGCCCGCCAAUGCAUUUCUACUUAUCAUCGACAAAUGCAAAAAAUUUCUCUCCGGUUGGCCGCCUGACUGCUCUCUAAAGCGAUAGACUAAUCGUCCUAUCAUAGUAAUUGAAUCCACCCUGGUUUACUUUAUGUCCAUCUUUCUCAUCCCGAAAAGUGUACUCACAACUCUGGAUUCGAUCCGCCGCGCUUUCUUUUGGGCUGCUGAAGAAACAUGCUCGGGUGCUGACUGACUAGUUGGUGGUCUAGGACUGAAGAAUCUGCCACAACAAAAUCAUAGACCACUUGCAGAAUUGUUCCCCUACCUAUACUCACACACCACUCUCCCACUUGCUCAUGUGGCUGCUGUUUUGAAUCAAGGUUGGGAAUAUUUCCUGCGGACUCGCCUAACCUCUAAUGUUGCAUCCGAGUUGCUUUCUUUGUUGCAAGACUUUCAGCCAUCGCAAGAACCAGAUGAGCGCUUCCUCAUUAGCGGCCUACCUUUCUCCACUAAAGCAGCAUACGAGCUUACCCUGAGAGAGGACUUGGUGGACCUCCACUCCAUGCCUAUCUGGACAUCACGAGCCCCCAAUCGGGUCAAGAUUUUUGCAUGGCUCCUAUUUCGUUGUCGGCUAAACUGUAAGGCCAAUUUCUUGCGUAAGCAUAUUGUUUCUGACGCCCUAUGCCCAAGAUGCGGGUUUGACGGCGAAGACAUCACACACAUUUUCAUCAACUGCCCCCUAGCGAGGCGUGUAUGGCUCAGACUUGGCAUCACUCCCAACGGCUGCAUCGACGAUCUUUGGGAUUGCCACAUACCCGCGGACAAUGAUCACAGAAUCUGGAACUCAAUGUUGCUCAUCAUUCCGUGGAAGAUAUGGGAUUCUAGGAAUGCCAUGACCUUCGGGCAGCAGAAUCACCACAACAUCACCACCCUCAAGAACAUCCUACAAGACCUUAUGCUUUGGAUCCACCGGAUGAAGAAGGCAGAAGAAAAACAGGCCGCGUCCUCGUGGCAUUCUUACCUGUCCUCACGUUUACACGUGCUUAUGUAAUUCACCUCUUUGUAAUCAGUCAUCAUCGAUGGAUCACAAAACUUGAGAAAUAUAUNNNNNNNNNNNNNNNNNNNNNNNNNNNNNNNNNNNNNNNNNNNNNNNNNNNNNNNNNNNNNNNNNNNNNNNNNNNNNNNNNNNNNNNNNNNNNNNNNNNNNNNNNNNNNNNNNNNNNNNNNNNNNNNNNNNNNNNNNNNNNNNNNNNNNNNNNNNNNNNNNNNNNNNNNNNNNNNNNNNNNNNNNNNNNNNNNNNNNNNNNNNNNNNNNNNNNNNNNNNNNNNNNNNNNNNNNNNNNNNNNNNNNNNNNNNNNNNNNNNNNNNNNNNNNNNNNNNNNNNNNNNNNNNNNNNNNNNNNNNNNNNNNNNNNNNNNNNNNNNNNNNNNNNNNNNNNUCGGUUACUCCCGAAAUCUAGAGAUUGGGUAGGGAUCUGUGUCACCCCAUUUUUGCUAUGUAUACUAUUAGCCAAAAAUUGUUCAGUUCGUACGCGGCCGUGUCAUACGAUGGGCCCAUGAAUGGUUGAGAGUUUUUUUAGGGCAAUCUCAUGAAGCUUUAUUAAGGGUAUCUUCAAGACGGACCCGCAAACCUCCCACAACUGUUCGGGUCACGCUGUCCGGAAGUGAUUUCUCACGCAAACCAGAGACAACGGGGGGAGGGGGCAAUUUGUCCAUUUAUAUUUAAUUAUGUUUAUUUUCAUGAUGAUAAUUACCAGUUGACAACUUCAAAUUCAAGACAGAAAAGAUGAAUUAAAUCUGUCCGCCGACAUCCGCAUGGCACGCAUUCUCGGGGGCGAAGUAGAUCCUUCUGGCGCGGACGUCGUAGACGAAGCGCGUGUCCACUUGCUGCAUUGCGCCGAUGAUGGUGAUGUCCAGGCUCGAGUGCACGGCGAGGCAGAUGUCAUGCCCCACCGCGAUGAACAGCCGUUGCGGUGUGAGAACGAGCCGUGCGUUCUCCUCCGCGAAAUGCAGCGUCACCGUCGGCAGGUGCUGCCAUAGGUGCGACGUCGCGCGGAAGCAGAGGUAGUAUCCGGCGUGGCGCACGCGCGACACCCCGAGCGGCUUGAGGUGCUCCAGCACGGCGUUCUCCAGCCUAUGGUAAGCUGUCCUUAUCAGCAUCAUCGAUGGCGUCCCAACAUCGAACACAACUCCGCCGGUCCACCCCAAGGGUACAAGUGGCGCUCGAACAGCUCCCCGAUAUGCUGCAGCGGCCGCCCGGCGACGCUGACGCCCACGAGGGUGACGAAGUAGGCGCUGAAAUCUUGGCCAGGCGUGAUCUGGGUGCUCACCAUGUGCUGGGUGCUCGGGACGUCGUCGCCGAACCGGAGGAAGGUGCGGUGGUCCCGCGAGCCGCGCCUAGGAAGACAGUAGGAGAAGCGAUGCACCUGCACGGCGCCAUGCCUGUGUUGCCCGAGCGUCCAGACGAGCGAUGGCUUGUGCCUUCCCAGGCCGAGUGCACCAGCGAGCACUUCAUGGCUGUUGAACCCAUAGCUGGUGUGCGCGCAGCCAAUGACGACUCCAGCAACCUCUGCCACCUCGCCGGAGGUUCCGAAGGCCAAGGUGUCAUUGCCGAGCACGCCGGUCACGUCGACGGCGUCAUGUCGGGUGGGACGGAGAUGGAAGUUGCACGGGUCGUGCGCUCGGGGCCGAUGCUCGCCGCGCAAGCACAUUGGGUUGUUACCUGGUACGGGGCGGAAUGAUGGCGAUUUCGCAGGGUCGAAGGGCGGUGGGUGCUGCACGAACGGCCUUUGGACCGUGUUGCACUGCAUCCACAGCAGGUUUCUGGUCAUGUCCAGCGCGAGGACGUACGUGCGUCGGCCGGCCCCCGUCCCAACGCUGGUGACAACACUGUACGUGCCCCCAACUUGUGUGUGCAUGGGCGGCCGAAGCGCGGUGUUGGCAUCCUCAUUCAGAUGCACGAAGCCGUCGUCGUCGACGUGGAUGCUACGGUUCCAGCCGGGACUGGGUACCAGCCGCAGGCUGAAGCCCCCGCCACGGCGGCCUGGUUUGCCAUCACCUACAGCGACGACGGCGGCAGGGUGGAGGAUCGCCCCAAGCACUAGAGGGAGGAGGAGAGCGCGCAGGGCGAGCUUCAUGGACAUUUCUGUUGCAGCAAUGCUGGCUAACUUGUUGGCGCUUGAGUAGUUUGCUUUUACGCUGACCCAAGGUUGACACAUACUCCGUGUAUAUAUAUAUAUAUUGGAGGGAGGUUCGGCUGCAUUUACUACGAAGCAAAAAUCUGUUUUUGGUAUUUGCAUAUCCCUUGCAGAUAUCCAUUGAUGCAUUUAUUAAAAAGCGAAAAAUCUGUUUUUGAUAUUUGCAUAUCCCUUGCAGAUAUCCAUGGAUGCAUUUAUUAAGAAGCCAAAAAGUCUGUUUUUUGAUAUUUGCAUAUCCCUUGCAGAUGUCCAUGGUGGAGAUACGCACAAAUUCAUUCAUGUAAAGAAUUAAUCUCUACUCCUAAUAUCUCAGUUGGUAGUCUCCUCAGUUAAUUUUCGUUCCACUUUCUUUGGGUUUUUUUCGUCCUCCCUCCCACCUCCCAAUUCCCCCGCAGUAACGAUCCCACCUCCCAGUUUCGUCGGUUUUUUUCAUCGAUUUUUUAUUCGCCCCCCUCCCACUGGCCGGACAAACCCAACGUUUAUUUGGUAACACAAUGAAUUCACAUAUGGUGAUUGAUUUACGAGGAGAACCAGAGGAGGAUGCACUGGAUGGCCUGGUGGAAAAUGUGCGUACCUAAAACCAAGGAGGGAUGGGAUUUCGUGAUAUUCACUGUUUCAAUAUGGCACUGCUCGCCAAACAGGCAUGGCGUCUUCUGGAUAAUCCUGAUUCUUUGUGUGCUACAAUUCUAAGGGCUAAAUACUAUCCUGAUGGUGAUUUGUUAAAUUAUAAGCAAAAGAAAGGCUCUUCUUUUACCUGGCAAAGUAUUAUGGCUGGUAUAAAUUCUCUGAAACGUGGCUAUAUUUGGCGUGUGGGGAAUGGACAAAAUAUAAAUAUUUGGGAGGAUGCCUGGAUUCCAAAUUGUGAUACUAGAAAAGAUGUGACACCUAAGGGGGGACAACUGUUAACUAAGGCGGGUGAUUUGAUUGAUCCUGUUUCGAAUUCUUGGGACGAAGAUCUGGUUACACAAACAAUGUGGCCCAUUGAUGUUCAACGGAUUCUCUCAAUUCCAAUCUCGCAACAUGAUAUGCCAGAUUUCAUUGCUUGGAGUUAUACGAAAAAUGGUAUGUUCUCGGUUCGGUCUGCUUAUUUUGUGGAGUGGGACCAUCAGUAUGGAAGUAGUCUAAGACAUUCUAAUGGGAUGGGGCGAAGCGCAGUUAAUCCUAUUUGGAGUAAGAUAUGGAAGUUAUCGUGUCCGGCAAAAGUCAAAAAGUUUAUAUGGCGUGCAUUACAUGGAACGCUUCCAUGUCGGGUUACGCUUGCAAAUAGACAUAUGGAGGUCAUGCCCAUUUUCCCUACUUGCUCUGAGGGUUCUGAAGAUACAAAGCAUAUGCUUUUCCUUUGUAGUAGAGCAAAGGAGAUUUGGACAAGGUUGGGGAUGGAUGAUAUCAUUGAUAAAGCUUGCAAGGUUGACCUUGCUGGAGAGGCGGUGCUGGAAUACCUACUACUUCUGCGAGAUCAAGAUUUGAGGAUAAUGGGUUAUCACAAUGUGCGUGAAAUGAUUGUUGUCUCAGCAUGGUAUCUAUGGUGGGAAAGACGGAAGUUAGCGCACAAGGAGACAACUUAGAAUGCACUUCAGAUUUCAAUGGGGAUUCUAGCCCUUACGUCAAACUUCGUAAAUGCGUCAUCCCCCAAGGCUUCUAUAAAAAAGGGGGGUAGGUCAUGUCCUCCUACGGGUUUUGUGAAACUUAACGUUGACGCUUCUUUUGAUCACGACCUACUUAGGGGCACGAUGGGGGCGGUUUUGAGAGAUGAAAAAGGUAGGUUUAUCGCGGGAGGGAACGGGAAGAUUGACUAUUGCGCAGAUGUGUUGAUGGUGGAAGCCUCAGCUCUUAAAUUUGGUAUAACAUUGGCGCAAAAGGCGGGAUGUAACCGCCUUAUUAUUAACUCGGACAACCUGGAGGUGAUUGAUACCAUGAAGAACGGAGGACAGUCGGCGGGUGCGGCGGCGGCAAUCUUUGACGAUUGUUUUCAUUAUGCUUGUGACUUCGUUGCUACUAGAUUCGAACACUGUAACAGAGAAGCAAAUAAAGUAGCUCAUGAGCUUGCGAGUUUAGCUAGAUUUUGGUUGAUUUCUGAUUGGUUUGAGGAACCCGUAAAUGAAAUUGUAAUGACCCUCACAAAGGAUGUACUUUUUAUCUCUAAUGAAUAAAGUUUUCGUUUAUCUCAAAAAAACUAACGGAUAUUAAUCAAUCUUCAAAUACCAAAACCAAACGUACAAGGCAACAAUCAAUUCAUGUAUCACAAUCAGAUUCUUCUUUAGUACCCAGCUUAACUCACGGAUGGUAAUCAAUCCCCAAACAAAGGAAACAAUUAACCUCUACAUCACCGUUGUUUACCUCUCGCCAAUACCAAAUUCAUACUAGGCAUAUCACCUACGCGGCAUGGUGUUGGUCCAGACCCCUAUGACGUGAUGUUGGGAUCAUGUCACAACACCACGCCGUCUUGAGCGCCGAUUUUGUUUCACCCACGAUUGACUGAUCUGAUUACCGAUCCACGAUCCAACCGGAGAAACCCUAUUCCCUCCCCCAUCUCGUGUAUUCUCCUGUGGUGGCAUGUCGAGUGGCGUCGGGGCAGCAACACGACGUGCUUAUGGUGCAUCAGAGGCCAGACGUGAGGUACCCAUUCAUCCUCUCCUCCUAAGCCUGCGUCAUCUCUCUCCUCUUGGCCAUCUCUCCUAGAAUGGCGCGUGGCGGCGACGACACAUGAACGCGGAGUGGCUCGUUGAGUUGCAUGGGGCUCACACGGGGCGUGCACGGUGGGUUGAAUUGGCGCGACGGCAACAGUGGUUGAAGGACGUGCUUGCUUCAGGUCGUUCGGCUAUUAUGCCGCAGGGGACAGUGCACGUAUCAGUGUGCCAAGGUGGCGGGGAUGCGGUGGCCAAAUGACGCAUGUGUCUGAGCCCUAAGGACGUGAUGACCCACAAGUGUAGGGGAUCUAUCAUAGUCCUUUCGAUAAGUAAGAGUGUCGAACCCAACGAGGAGCAGAAGGAAAUGAUAAGCGGUUUUCAGUAAGGUUUUCUCUGCAAGCACUGAAAUAGUAGGUGAUAGAUAGUUUUGUGAUAAGACAAAUAGUAACGAGCAAAAAGUAAAUAAAUUAAAUUAAAUGCAGCAAGGUGGCCCAAUCCUUUAUGUAGCAAAGGAUAAGCCUGGACAAAUUCUAAUAAUGAGGAAGGAGCUCCCGAGGACACAUUGGGAAUUAUCGUCACGCUAGUUUUCAUCACGUUCGUAAGAUUCGCGUUCGGUACUUUGAUAAUUUGAUAUGUGGGUGGACCGGCACUUGGGUACUGCCCUAACUUGGACAAGCAUCCCACUUAUGAUUAACCCCUAUUGCAAGCGUCCGCAACUACAAAAAGGAGUAUUAAGGUAAACCUAACCACAACAUUAAACAUAUGGGCCCAUAUCAACCCCUAACGAAGCAACACAUAAACUAGGGUUUAAGCUUCUGUCACUCUAGCAACCCAUCAUCUACUUAUUACUUCCCUAUGCCUUCCUCUAGGCCCAAAUAAUGGUGAAGUGUCAUGUAGUCGACGUUCACAUAACACUACUAGAGGAAAGACAACAUACAUCUCAUCAAAAUAUCGAACGAAUACCAAAUUCACAUGACUACUAAUAGCAAUACUUCACCCAUGUCCUCAGGAACAAACGUAACUACUCACAAAGCAUAUUCAUGUUCAUAAUCAGAGAAGUAAUAAUAUGCAUAAAGGAUCUGAACAUAUGAUCUUCCACCAAGUAAACCAAUUAGCAUCAACUACAAGGAGUAAUCAACACUACUAGCAAUCCACAGGUACCAAUUUGUGGUUUUGAUACAAGAUUGGAUACAAGAGAUGAACUAGGGUUUUGAGAGGAGAUGGUGCUGGUGAAUAUGUUGAUGGAGAUUGACCCCCUCCCGAUGAGAGGAUCGUUGGUGAUGACGUUGGUGAUGAUUUCCCCCUCCCGGAGGGAAGUGUCCCCGGCAGAACAGCUCCGCCAGAGCCCUAGAUUGAUUCCGCCAAGGUUCCGCCUCGUGGCGGCGGAGUUUCAUCCUGUAAGCUUGCCCACAAUUUUUUCCAGGGUAAGAGUGAUGAUAUAGCAGAAGAUGGAUGCCGGAGGCCCACCAGGGGGCCCAGGAGAUAGAGGGCCGCGCCCUAUAGGGGGGCGCGCCCCCUUGUCUCCUGGACAGGGUGUGGGCCCCCUGGCCUAUUUCUUUCGCUCAUAAAUUCUUAAUAAAUCCAAAAAGUUGUUUCGUGGAGUUUCAGGACUUUUGGAGUUGUGCAGAAUAGGUUUCCAAUGUUUGCUCCUUUUCCAGCCAGAAUUCCAGCUGCCGGCAUUCCCCCUCUUCAUGGUAAACCUUGUAAAAUAAGAGAGAAUAGCCAUAAGUAUUGAGAUAUAAUGUGUAAUGACAGCCCAUAAUGCAAUAAAUAUUGAUAUAAAAGCAUGAUGCAAAAUGGACGUAUCAACUCCCCCAAGCUUAGACCUCGCUUGUCCUCAAGCGGAAGCCGAAAUCGAAAAAUAUGUCCACAUGUUUAGUGAUAGAGGUGUCGAUAAAAAUAAAAUAGGAACAUGAGGGCAUCAUGAUCAUUCUAAUAAUAGCAACAUAUAUAGAUUUUGUCAUAUGAUUUCCUAUGCUCAAGUAAUAAGCAAUUCACAAUGUCAAGUAUGGUUCAUAAACUUUAUUGGAAACUAACAAACUAUAAUCUCAGUCAUUGAAGCAAUUGCAAUUUAUCGUAACAUCAGAAAGAGUCAAUAAUAGAGCUUUUCAACAAGCUCACAUACUCAACUAUCUCGUAGUCUCCCAUAAUUGCUAACACUCACGCAAUACUUGUGGUUAUAGAGUUUCAGUCGGACACUGAGAAAGAUAGGGGCUUAUUGUGUUGCCUCCCAAUGUAUUCACCUUUAGGUGAUGUCAACAAUAAUAGCCUAUGCCAACUUACAUCCAAUUGGAUAUAUGUAUCAUGAUCUUUCAAACACGAGGAGCUUGCCAAAGGAUAAAAUGAAAAAAGAAAAAGGUGAGGAUCACCUUGACUCAAGCAUAAAGUAAAAAACAUAAAGUAAAAGAUAGGCCCUUCGCAGAGGGAAGCAGAGGUUUCCAUGCGCGUUUAGGUUGAUGCACGAAAUCUUAAUGCAAAAGAACGUCACUUUAUAUUGCCCCUUGUAUGUGGACCUUUAUUAUGCUAUCCGUCGCUUUUAUUACUUCCACAACAAGUUCGUACCAAGCUUAUUUUCUCUACACUAAUAAGUCAUACAUAUUUAGAGAGCAAUUUUUAUUGCUUGCGCCGAUGACAACUUACUUGAAGGAUCUUACUCAAUCCAUAGGUAGGUAUGGUGGACUCUCAUGGCAAAACUGGGUUUGGGGAUAUUUGUAAGCACAAGUAGUAUCUCUACUUGGUGCAAGGAAUUUGGCUAGCAAGAGGGGGAAAGGCAAGCUCAACAUGUUUGAAAGGUCAAUGACAAUAUACUUUAACUGAGAUGUCGGAAAACAUAAACCAUUACAUUGUCUUCCUUGUCCAACAUCAACUCUUUUAGCAUGUCAUACAUAAUGAGUGCUCCACAAUCAUAAAAGAUGUCCAAGAUAAUAUAUCUAUAUGUGAACCCCUCUUUCCUUAUCACUUCCUAUUAAUUGCAACGAUGACCAAGGCUACGUUCAUCAACUCUCAACAAUUUUUAUGCCUCAUACUUUCCAUGUGUGAAGUUAUCACUAUCUAUAAGAUCAAUAUGAACUCUUUUGUUCUUUCUACUUUCUCAAGAUCAUAGCAAAUAGCAAAGCCCUUGACUCAACACUAAUCUUUAUCAAAAUACUUGAUAUCAAAGCUUCAAUUUACUAGAUCAAGAUACUACUGAAAGGAUCGAACUAAAUAAAGGGGUAAAGAUAGGAGUGUGAUGGUGAUACGAUACCGGGGCACCUCCCCCAAGCUUGGCAGUUGCCAAGGGGGGUGCCCAUACCAAUGUGAUUAUUUCCUCGGAGGGGAUGAUGACGGUGGAUAAUCGCACAUCGAGCGUAAAAGCUCCUCCAACUUGUGGAUAAUGCCCUUGAGCCCAGCAAUAUGAUCCUUCAACAAAAUAUUCUCCUAUGUGAGAUACUUGUUCUGUAUGCGGGCUAACUCAAUCAUCUUGAAAGCCUCAAUGUCUGUUGGAGUGAAAAGGUUAGGUAAAGGUUGAGGGAUGUCUUCUUCUUUCACCAUCGGAGCUUGGACCUCCAUGGCCUUCUUGAUCCCUUCAUCCUUGUUGAUCUCUGCUGGUUCCUCUCUUUUCAGCUCUAUCUUCAAUAGCCAAGCAUCCUUAUCUUCGUUGUUGGAGGAGGGGGAAGUCAUGGUGCUCUAAAUCUGAAACAGAAACAACUCGAAACGAAAACAAAGGAUAUUUGCGUGAUACGGUGGUCAAAACCUUCGGGAGUAUAUAUAAUGAAUUUUUACCGACCAAAAUGCGUAACAUACAAGAAAACGGAGUCCGGGAGGCACACGAGGUGCCCACGAGACAGGGGGCGCGCCCUACAUGGGGGGGCCUCCUCUCUCGUGGGAGCCUCGUGUCCCUUUUGGACUACUUCUUUAUUCCUAAAAUUCUUAGAUAAUCCAAAACUGAUAAAAAUUGCCAUUAGAGUUGUUUUGGAGUUGGUUUACUUACCGUACCACGUACCUAUGCCUUUUCGGACUCUGGAACAUUCUGGAAAGUGUCUCUUAUGUAUUCCUCAGGGGUUAUGGUUUCAAUAAUAUUAGUUUUAACAUUGAUAGGAUUACCUGAAAUAUAAUGUUUAAUUCUUUGACCGUUAACCACCCUCGGAUUUGUGCCUUCGAAGUUGUUGAUUUUUAUAGCACCAAAACGAUAGACCUCCUCGAUAACGUAGGGACCUUCCCAUUUUGAGAGAAGUUUUCCUGCAAAAAAUCUUAAACGAGAGUUGAAUAAUAACACAUAAUAUCCUACAUUAAACUCACGCUUUUGUAUCAUCUUAUCAUGCUAGCGUUUGACUUUUUCUUUGAAAAGCUUGGCAUUCUCAUAUGCUUGGGUUCUCCAUUCAUCAAGCGAGCUAAUAUCAAACAACCUCUUCUCGCCGGCAAGUUUGAAGUCAUAAUUGAGCUUUUUAAUAGCCAAUAUGCUUUAUGUUCAAGUUCAAGAGGUAAAUGACAUGCUUUUCCAUAAACCAUCUUAUAUGGAGACAUACCUAUAGGACUUUUGUAUGCAGUUCUAUAGGCCCAUAAUGCAUCAUCAAGUUUUUUGGACCAAUUCUUUCUAGAUCUAUUCACAGUCUUUUGCAAAAUUAAUUUGAGCUCUCUAUUGCUCAACUCUACUUGACCACUAGACUGCGGGUGAUAAGGAGGUGCGAUUCUAUGAUUGACAUCAUACUUAGCAAGCAUCUUACGGAAAGCACCAUAAAUAAAGUGUGAACCACCAUCAGUCAUAAGAUAUCUAGGGACUCCAAACCUCGGAAAAAUAACUUCUUUAAGCAUUUUAAUAGAAGUGUUAUGAUCAACACUACUAGUUGGAAUAGCUUCUACCCACUUAGUAACAUAAUCAACAGCAACUAAAAUAUGUGUAUAACCAUUGGAGGCAGGAAAAGGUCCCAUAUAAUCAAAGCCCCAAACAUCAAACGGUUCAAUAACAAGAGAAUAAUUCAUAGGCAUUUCUUGACGUCUACUAAUGUUACCUAUUCUUUUACAUUCAUCACAAGAUAAGACAAACUUACGAGCAUCUUUGAAGAGAGUAGGCCAAUAAAAAUGAGAUUGUAGUACCUUGUGUGCAGUUCUAUCUCUAGCGUGGUGUCCUCCAUAAGAUUCAGAGUGACACUUGCGUAGGAUUUGUUUCUGUUCAUGCUCAGACACACAAUGUCUAAUAAUACCAUCUACUCCUUCUUUCUAAAUGUGUGGAUCAUCCUAGAAGUAAUGUCUUAAAUCAUAAAAGAACUUUUUCUUUUGCUGGUAUGUGAAACUAGGCGGUAUAUAUUUAGCAACAAUGUAAUUAGCAUAAUCAACAUACCAAAGAGCAGUACGAGAAGCAUUGACAACCACUAAUUGUUCAUCAGGAAAACUAUCAUUAAUAGGCAGUGGGUCAUCAAGAACAUUCUCUAACCUAGACAAGUUGUCUGCCACGGGGUUCUCAGCUCCCUUUCUAUCAAUAAUAUGCAAGUCAAAUUCUUGGAGCAAGAGAACCCAUGUAAUGAGUCUAGGCUUAGCAUCUUUUUUUCCAUGAGAUAUUUAAUAGCAGCAUGAUCAGUGUGAAUAGUAACUUUGGAAUCAACAAUAUAAGGUCUAAACUUAUCACAUGCAAACACAACUGCUAAGAACUCUUUUUCAGUAGUAGCAUAAUUUCUCUGGGCAGUAUCAAGAGUCUUACUAGCAUACUGGAUAACAUUCUAUUUCUUAUCGACUCUUUGCCCUAAAACAUCACCUACAGCAUAAUCACUAGCAUCACACAUAAUUUCAAAAGGUAAAUUCCAAUCAGGUGGCUGAACAAUAGGUGCAGUGAUCAAAGCUUUCUUAAGUGUUUCAAAUGCUUCUACACAAUCAUCAUCAAAGACAAAUGGAAUAUCUUUUUGCAAUAAAUUAGUCAGAGGCCUAGAGAUUUUAGAAAAGUCCUUAAUGAACCUCCUAUAAAAGUCGGCAUGACCAAGGAAACUUCUUAUACCUUUUAUGUCCUUGGGACAUGGCAUCUUUUCAAUAGCAUCAGCUUUGGCUUUAUCAACUUCAAUACCUCUCUCGGAGAUCUUGUGCCCCAAGACAAUGCCUUCAUUAACCAUAAAGUGACACUUUUCCCAAUUCGGGACUAGACUAGUGUCUUCGCAUCUCUGCAAAACUCGAUCAAGGUUGCUCAAACAAUCAUCAAAAGAGGAUCCAUAGACGGAGAAAUCAUCCAUGAAUACCUCACAAAUCUUUUCACAAAAAUCAGAAAAUAUAGCCAUCAUGCAUCUUUGAAAGGUAGCAGGUGCAUUACAUAAACCAAAAGGCAUACGUCUAUAAGCAAAAGUACCAAAAGGGCAAGUAAAAGUAGUCUUAGAUUGAUCCUUCGCGGACACAGGUAUUUGAGAGAAGCCAGAAUAACCAUCUAGAAAGUAAAAUGUGUGUGUUUGGAUAGCCUUUCUAGCAUUUGAUCAAUAAAAGGUAAAGGGUAAUGAUCUUUCUUAGUAGCUUUAUUUAACUUACGGAAAUCAAAUACCAUCAUAUAACCUCUAAUAAUUCUUUGCGGGAUCAAAUUAUCUUUAUCAUUAGGAACAACGGUAAUACCUCCCUUUUUAGGGACACAAAGGACAGGGCUUACCCAUUCACUAUCAGCAACGGGAUAAAUAAUACCUGCCCCAAGGAGUUUUAGAAUCUCCUUUCUCAUCACUUCCUUCAUUUUGGGGUUUAAUCGUCUUUGAGGAUCUCUAACUGGUUUGGCAUCUUUCUCCACUGAAAUUUUGUGUUGACAUAAUGUGGGACUAAUGCCCUUAAGAUCGUCCAGAGUAUAUCCAAUAGCAGCUCGGUGCUUCUUCAGAGUUUUCAAUAAUCUUUCUUCUUCUUUCUCUGAAAGGUUAGCACUAAUAAAUACAGGAUAUAUUUCUUUUUCAUCAAGAUAAGCAUAUUUGAGAUUAUCAGGUAAGGGUUUGAGUUAGAAUAUGGGAUCACCCUUGGGUGGAGGGGGAUCCCCAAGAAUUUCAGCGGGAAGGUUAUGUUUUAGCAUAGGUUCUUGUUUAAGGAACACUUCAUCUAUUUCUUUCCUUUCCUUCAUAAACAUAUCGUUUUCAUGGUCUAACAAAUAUUGUUCUAACGGGUCAGUUGGAGGAACAGCAAUGGAAGCAAGACCAAUAAUUUCAUCCUUACUAGGUGGUUCCCUUUCACGAGGUUGUCUACUAAACUUAGCGAAAAAUUAAACUCAUGAGACAUACCAUCUAUGCCAACAGUGACAAUAUUCUUUUCACAAUUAAUCUUAGCACUAGCAGUAUUCAAGAAGGGUCUACCAAAAAUAAUGGGACAAAAAUCAUCUUGUGGGGAAGCAAGAAUAAGAAAAUCAGCAGGGUAUUUAAUCUUCCCACACAAGACUUCAACAUCUCUAACAAUCCCAAUAGGUUUAAUGGUAUCCCUAUUAGCAAGCUUAAUAGUAACAUCAAUGUCUUCUAAUUCAACAGGUGCAAUAUCAUGUCUUUAUAAAGAUCAUAAGGUAUCGCGUUAGCACUAGCACCCAUAUCACAUAAGCCAUGAUAACAAUGAUCUCCUAUUUUAACAGAAAUAACAGGCGUGCCUACAACAGGUCUACGUGUCUUAUUAUCGGGUCUAGCAAUAUUAGCAGUUUCACCCAAGAAAGAGAUAACAUGCCCAUCUAAGUCCUCAUCCAAAAGAUCUUUAAUCAUAGCAAUACCAGGUUCAACAUUAAUUUGCUCAGGAGGUGUAUAAGUCCUAGUAUUACUCUUACGAACAACAGUCGAAGCUUUAACAUGAUCUUUUAUCCUAACAGGAAAAGGAGGUUUUUCGACAUAAGCAGUAUGAAUAAUAGGAUCACUAUAUGUAAUAGUCUUUUCUUCGACUGUAAUAGGUGCAACUACUUUCACUUCAACAGGAGGAUUAUAUUUAAACCACUUCUCUUUAGGGAGAUCAACGUGAGUAGCAAAAGUUUCACAAAAAGUAGCUACUAUCUUAGAGUCAAGUCCAUACAUAGAGCUAAAUCCACGGAAAGCAUCGGUAUCCAUAAAAGAUUUAACACAAUCAAACUUAGGUGUCAUACCUGACUCCUUACCAUCGGCGGAACCCUAAUCUUUAGAGUUGCGUUUAAUUCUUUCCAAUAAGUCCCAUUUGAAAUCAAUAGUCUUCAGCAUAUAGGAACCAACACAGGAAGUAUCGAGCAGGUUGUGAUUAUCAAGAGAAAGUCGAGCAUAAAAAUUCUGAAUAAUCAUUUCCCGAGAGAGCUCAUGAUUGGGGCAUGUAUAUAACAUUGACUUAGACCUCCCCCAAGGUUGAGCGAUGCUUUCUCCUUCGCAAGGCCAGAAAUAUAUGUAAUUACGAUCACGAUGAACAAGAUGCAUAGGAUAGAACUUCUGGUGAAAUUCCAACUUCAGCCGCUUAUAAUUCCAAAAUCUCGUAUCAUCACAAAGCCUAUACCAUGUCAUUGCAUCUCCCUUCAAAGAUAAAGGGAAGACCUUCCUUUUGACAACAUCAUCGGGGAUACCUGCAAGCUUAAAGAAUCCAAAAACUUCAUCCACAAAGAUAAGGUGUAAGUCGGGAUGCAAAGUUCCGUCUCUUGCAAAAGGAUUAGCUAGCAGUUUUUCUAUCAUACCCGAAGGAAUCUCAAAGUGAAUAUUUUCAUAAGGUUCAGUAGGUUGAGGAGCAUCUCUUUGCUCUUCUGGUUGGGGUGAAGAUACCCCAAACAAGCCCCUCAAAGGAUUAGUUUCCAUAGUGACAAGUAACAGAAAAUUUCAGCACAUUAUAUAAAUGUUUCCUUACCAAGUUCCACUCACCAAAAGUGCUACACUCCCCGGCAACGGCGCCAGAAAAGAGUCUUGAUGACCCACAAGUGUAGGGGAUCUAUCAUAGUCCUUUCGAUAAGUAAGAGUGUCGAACCCAACGAGGAGCAGAAGGAAAUGAUAAGCGGUUUUCAGUAAGGUUUUCUCUGCAAGCACUGAAAUAGUAGGUGAUAGAUAGUUUUGUGAUAAGACAAAUAGUAACGAGCAAAAAGUAAAUAAAUUAAAUUAAAUGCAGCAAGGUGGCCCAACCUUUAUGUAGCAAAGGAUAAGCCUGGACAAAUUCUAAUAAUGAGGAAGGAGCUCCUGAGAACACAUUGGGAAUUAUCGUCAAGCUAGUUUUCAUCACGUUCGUAAGAUUCGCGUUCGGUACUUUGAUAAUUUGAUAUGUGGGUGGACCGACACUUGGGUACUGCCCUAACUUGGACAAGCAUCCCACUUAUGAUUAACCCCUAUUGCAAGUGUCCGCAACUACAAAAAGGAGUAUUAAGGUAAACCUAACCACAACAUUAAACAUAUGGGCCCAUAUCAACCCCUAACGAAGCAACGCAUAAACUAGGGUUUAAGCUUCUGUCACUCUAGCAACCCAUCAUCUACUUAUUACUUCCCUAUGCCUUCCUCUAGGCCCAAAUAAUGGUGAAGUGUCAUGUAGUCGACGUUCACAUAACACUACUAGAGGAAAGACAACAUACAUUUCAUCAAAAUAUCGAACGAAUACCAAAUUCACAUGACUACUAAUAGCAAUACUUCACCCAUGUCCUUAGGAACAAACAUAACUACUCACAAAGCAUAUUCAUGUUCAUAAUCAGAGAAGUAAUAAUAUGCAUAAAGGAUCUGAACAUAUGAUCUUCCACCAAGUAAACCAAUUAGCAUCAACUACAAGGAGUAAUCAACACUACUAGCAACCCACAGGUACCAAUUUGUGGUUUUGAUACAAGAUUGGAUACAAGAGAUGAACUAGGGUUUUGAGAGGAGAUGGUGCUGGUGAAGAUGUUGAUGGAGAUUGACCCCCUCCCGAUGAGAGGAUCAUUGGUGAUGACAUUGGUGAUGAUUUCCCCCUCCCGGAGGGAAGUGUCCCCGGCAGAACAGCUUCGCCAGAGCCCUAGAUUGAUUCCGCCAAGGUUCCGCCUCGUGGCGGCGGAGUUUCAUCCCGUAAGCUUGCCCACGAUUUUUUCCAGGGUAAGAGUGAUGAUAUAGCAGAAGAUGGACGCCGGAGGCCCACCAGGGGGCCCAGGAGAUAGGGGGUCGCGCCCUAUAGGGGGUGCGCCCCCUGUCUCCUGGACAGGGUGUGGGGCCCCUAGCCUAUUUCUUUCGCUCAUAAAUUCAAUAAAUCCAAAAAGUUGUUUCGUGGAGUUUCAGGACUUUUGGAGUUGUGCAGAAUAGGUUUCCAACAUUUGCUCCUUUUCCAGCCAGAAUUCCAACUACCGGCAUUCCCCCUCUUCAUGGUAAACCUUGUAAAAUAAGAGAGAAUAGCCAUAAGUAUUGAGAUAUAAUGUGUAAUGACCGCCCAUAGUGCUAUUAAUAUUGAUAUAAAAGCAUGAUGCAAAAUGGACGUAUCAGGACGCGGUGCUGCGAUGCCUAUGUUCACUAGGAUCUCACGCGACAAUAAUCGGGGGAGGUCAUCUUGCUUCAGCGUGCAUCAGAAAACGGCCAUUGCUAUCUAGCUUGUGUGGCUUGCAUCAGUAGAGCACAGAGCGAGGGAGAGGGACGUAUAAGUCCACUCCCAUGGGAAGAUGUGUGCAAAGAGGUGGCUCGGUCUAUAGUUUUCCCCACUGUCAAAGUGGCUAAGCUGUCAUAUAUUCCAGGGCUUCACCUCGCCUACACAGGCACCACAUUCUAAUUGGUUGUUAAAGGCUCAAAGGUAAUUCAACCAUUGCUUUGAUAUUCCUAGGUUUCCGCUAUGAACUAAUAUUAAGAAAAUUUGUUUAUACAUACGUUGAUGAUCCUUGCAAGUCACAUCACCUCAUGUUUUAUUUCUUUCUGGAACGAGCUGCAACACACGGGCAAGAUGAAGGUUAGAGAAGGCAAUUAAGGAGUGAGAGUCAUGUUGAAGUUGAGUUUGUAUGGUUAUAUAUUUUAAUCCUUGUGCGGGUGGUGUUCUUGAAGUUUCAUUUGGUGUUGCUGUCAGCAGGCUUAUACUUUCAUCAUCUUCUACAUCAAGUAUAGUGGUUAAUUGUUUUGGUCAACUCUGCAUUUCAUUUCCUCAGAAUUACCUCACUGCAUUUUGUGGACAACAAAAGUAACAGUAUGGUAAUUGGUAAAAGUUUUUGGUCCUAUAAUAUCAGAGAGAGAGAGAGAGAGAGUCAGAGAGAGAGAGAGAGAGAGAGAGAGAGAGAGAGAAUUUAGAUAUCAUUUGGUGGUAGCAAGUUCAAGUAAUAGUUUGAACACAUUCAAGAAAUAGUAUAAAGAGAAUGCAUAUUAUUACAUAAAAAUAACGCUGAGAAUUUAGAUGUAUGGUUUGUCAUGGAGCUGUGGCUGGCCGAUUUACAUGAAAUUAAUUCCCUCAGUUGUGGUGGCAAAUUUAAUACACAUAAUCCAUAUUGUUAUCCACUAGCGUGUGUGUGUGUCAAAUAGAUGGAUUAUGAUCCCGUACCCAAUAAGAUGGAUAUGUGUGUGUCUGUGUUAGAGAGAGAGAGGAAGAGGGGGAGAGAGAGUGAGGAAGAGGAAGGGAGAGAGUGUGUGUGUGAGGAUUUGAUGGUAAAAAAGGUCGCCAAUAUCACUUGAUAUGUAUGAGAAUAUUAAAUGUAAUAUUAACAUGAUUAAUAUUAAACUCUUAAAAUUAAUGUGGCCCCGAUGCACGGGCGUUCUUCUACUGUUGCAAAUAGGAAGGCGUGAAAUGGUUUAAAGUCGCCGAAUUCAUUCAUGUCAAGAAUUAAUGUUACAAAUAUGAUGGCCGUUGCGAACCAACAUGUUGGUUGGAUGGUUAGAGGGACUGUGGUAUCAUCAGCCCAUCAAGAUUCAAAUCCUGGUGCUCGCAUUUAUUUCAGGAUUUUCGGCGAAGCGCAUUCAGUGGAAGGAGAUGUUCCCGUCGAUGAUGAGGCGCCUACGGCGGCUUCAUAAAUCUCAAGAUGAUAUGCCGGCUCAGUAUUUCGGAGAUGCUCAUAGGAUAGGAUGUGUGUGAACGCGUAUAUGCGCGUGUAUAUGAGCGCUUGUGUCUGUACUGAUGUUCAAAAAAAAUAGCAAACACCUAGCUGAUCGAUGAUUUUUCUAUCUAAAAUGAAAAAACCUAAACAAUAGAAAGUGUAAAAAAAUAAAAAAAAAUCCAUAGCUGAUCGAUUCUUGCUCUCCUAGAAAGAAGCAAGAAGGCCUACGCGAGCGGCUGCUCUUCAUAGGCGGCCACACCAACAGUAUUUUGCAUACAAGUGAAGAAACAAUAUUUUGCAUAUUAUUUAUGUUCUUUUCUUCCCUUUAAACAAGAUAUAUACUACCUCAUUUUUCAGAGAUUAUUUGACUGAUGUAGUGAAAUUGAUUUGAUAGUGCAUAUACUAAUAUAAUUUUACACUCCCAACAUUUACUUAUACAAAACCACAAACUCGAAUUACACAUAUAAAGGUAAAAAAUUAAUGUCUGAUUUGCUAGCUAGCUUGUCUUCACCGGGUUAAUUAAUAGAACACAUGCAAAUUAGAGGAAAUCAAGGACAGGAAGUACUCCCUCUGUUUUUAUUCACUCCACAUAUUAGGUUUGUCUAAAGUCAAGCUUUAUAUACUUUCAAUAAGUUUGUAGAAAAAUAUAUUAACUUAUACACCAUCAAAUAUAUCUCAUUGGAUUCAUCGAUGCAUAUAUUUUCAAAUCAUAUAUAAAUUUUUUACUCUAAAUAUUCAUAUUUUUUUCAACAAUGCGCCCGGCUUCUUUCUCUGCCGGUAGGGCGCGGUUAUGCGCGCGUUGAUGGCGAAUAGCAUGGGGUCACAAGCUCGGGAGGAGCAGUACACGGCUUCGUCCACGGCAGCAAUGAUGUCAGUGCCAUCAUNNNNNNNNNNNNNNNNNNNNNNNNNNNNNNNNNNNNNNNNNNNNNNNNNNNNNNNNNNNNNNNNNNNNNNNNNNNNNNNNNNNNNNNNNNNNNNNNNNNNNNNNNNNNNNNNNNNNNNNNNNNNNNNNNNNNNNNNNNNNNNNNNNNNNNNNNNNNNNNNNNNNNNNNNNNNNNNNNNNNNNAACUCGCCACUCCUCCAUGAGUUGGCUUGGAGCGGCGAGAUGCUAAACCACGAGUCGGGGUGGGGCAGCAACUUGCUCCCUUGGUCUAGGCGCGGGAGGUGGAGCAGGGAGUUGUCUCGCUCGUAUCCAACUGGGCACCCAGCCGGCCUUUAUGCCGGAGAACUGCUCUUACUGCUCGUCGGAGUCCGGAUUUUGAAGCGGCACACCGGCCGGGAGCACCAUCCGCAUCGUCUCUCGAUGUACGUGCCUUCUCUUGACAUGCAAACGCCACCCGCCAGUCUGCCUCCCAACAAUAAAUAAGCACGGUUGUCGAGAAACGCACUCCGACGCCCGCAUGCGAACGCCAUCCAUGUACAACAAACCCCUGUCAAACUAGAAUUUCAGCAUACCCUAUAUAUACCAUCUAACACCAACUUCAUGGCAACUUUAAUAGCAUUGUCACCCUACUUCAUUCUUUUAUAGCAAAAGAACCAUAUCUUUUUGCCGACAGCGAGAAUAGUUGAAAUUCAAUGGCACUCGAGGGGGGUAAUUCAAUUGAGGAACUACUUAGAGGAUGCGGUUGCCCCUCGCGACAAGGCUCUUGAUCUUCUUGGUUGGUGGAAAGAGAAUGCUCCAAGGUACCCAAUGUUGGCCAAGAUAGCCAAGAGGUUCAUUACUAUCCCGGCUACCUCCGUGUCUUCGGAAUCUACCUUUAGCACGACCGGAAGGAUUUUAGGUAUGUCAACUCAUACUAUUGAACUUUGGAUAUAAACUUGUCAACUUCUCAUCCUCACUCUAGUUUGUCAACUUGUGUCGUAUUAGAUGACUAUAGGAGUUCGUUAAAACCGGUUAUGGUGGAGGCAUUAGUUUGUGGUGCAAGUUAUAUCAAGGGUGCUCAUGUUGACUUGAAUCUGGUGGUAUGUUUGCCAUCUUUUCCUUACCUUUGCUUUAUUUCUUUUUUGGUCUUGUUGUAUGUGAUGUGAGCAUUUGUCUAACUUCCACACUUGUAGCCGAGGGAUGAGAAUAAAGAGGAUGAUGUUGAGAACAUCAAGUUACCCACUGUGGUGGAGGAGAUCAACGAUUGGUAACUAUUCUUCCUACAUGUUUCACUUGUCAUACGAUACCAAAUAUUAUUUAUGUGAAUGUUGCUUAUCUUACUUGUAGACAUUCAUCAUGUGGAUGUUGAUCUUGCUAUUUUGGAGAUGAAUGUCAAAGUGAUCUUUCUCAUGUGAAGGCUACUUUUGCAUUUCUGUUAUGUUUGUCAUGAACUAUGAAUUGUCACUGCUAGCUUGGAGAUGAACCUCUCAUUUGUGUUAUGUUCAACUUGUCAAUUGCCAUGGACUUGGAAUUGUUAGAGCAAGUUUGUAAUCGUGUCGUUCAAUGAUGAUAAGACCUUAUGUUUGUGGAUGUGAUAUUGUGCUUAACCUGAUUUGUGCCAUCUUUCAUGUCAAAAUCAGUUUGUGGAUGUCCAAAAAACAAAGGAAAUGCUGUCCAAAUUUAGUUAUUCUUGCUGUCCAAAAUUAGUCAUGUGCUUGCUGUCCAAUUAGUUGUUUGUGGCUGUGAUAUUCCUGUUGUUUCAGUCCAAAAUUAUGUGAAGAAACUUAUCUGAAAACUGUAGUGAUCAAUGUUUGUGCAUGUGAUUUUUGUGAUAUUGUUCCUCUCAAAAUCAUUUGUUUUGAUGUCCAAAAUACAAAUAAAAUGCUGUUCAAAUUUAGUUAUGACAUACUAGUCAUUAUAAGAAACAGAGCACUCACUAAAUUUGGACAGCCUAAAUUGUGGCCAAAAAGCGCAACAGGGCACUGCUAAAUAAUGGCCAAAACGCUUAAUAAAGCACUCACAGGGACAGCUACAGUCUAAAUACGUCCAAACAGCCUAAACAGUGGCCAACAAAGCACUCCCAGGCUGUUAAACCGAGUCCCAGCCAUCGGUCCCGUUCGGUCCAGUCGGGCUGACCGAGCUUUGCUCCUCUCGAUCCGGUCCUGGAAAUUUGGCUCGCUGGCCACCUCGGUCCGGUCCGGACCGGACCGGCCGGUCCAAAGGCUGGCUCGGUCAAAGCCCGGACCGGACCGGACCGCGUCCACCCUGAGGUAAUUGGAUGUGAGUUAGGCACACUACCUCAACCAUUGAGAUCCAGGGGCCCUCUAAACGCCAGGUUUUGGUCUGAUUUUGCCAUGCGGCUCUCAACUCGAGGACGAACAGAGGAGGGGAUCGGGGGCAAGAGAAGGAGUCGAGAUGAAUGUGUAUUGGAUGGCACGGGUAAGGUACAUAUUAUUCCGCAUCCUUUUUUUUUCAGGGAUGGACCGAUGAAUACGUGUUCAAUCCUAACUAACUACCAGGAGUACCAGAAAAGGGAGCCAGACUCCGACCGGAAACUGAACACGGAACGGUUCGCAAUAAAUCACUACGUGCUGCAAUCGUACACCGAGCCACCGCGCCACGCCCAUAUAGCACGUCGACUAAUACGACAGGCGAUCAGAUAGCACGUCGAUCAAAUUGGCGUCGAUGGCCAGCUUCACGGAAGAACCGUCGUUCUGGUGCCAUGGGUGCAGACGCCUCCACCAGACCCGCGCCGGCGAAGCCGUCUCGGCAUGCCCCGUCUGCGCACCGGCCCCCGAAGCCUACGUCGAGAGCAUCGUCGACGUCGUGGACGAAAGAACGUUCCUCCGUGGCGGCCAGCCGGAGGACCGGCCCGCCGUCGCCCACGCCGAGCCGCUGCCCCUCGUCACGGUCCGCCAAGCGGGGCUCGCGUGCCCGAUCUGCCUGGACGAGCUGGAGCCCGGCGCCCACGCGGCCGAGACGCCGUGCCAGCACGUGUACCAUCCGGCCUGCCUCGCCACGUGGCUCGGGGCCAGAGGCACCUGCCCGGUCUGCCGCUGCAGGUUCGCCGCCGAGGACCACGCGGCCGGCUCCCCGGACGGCCUUAUCCUGUGCGACCUGCGGAACGGACGCUUUGCCCUCGGCCGGCGUACCGCCGGGGAUUGCUUGCGGAUGGUCGGGAUCCUCGACGAGGUCGGCAUGCUCGUGCAGCAUCCCAGCCCGCCGCUCAACCGCGGGCAGCGUGUCGGCUUGAUGCGCUGGUUCAGGGCAAUGCGCGCCAGGUAAGGCGGCCGCGCGAGAGCGCCGUUGCGCCGGGAGAACGUGCUAGCCGGAUGAUAUUGCAACCUGUAGUUUGGCAGUAGCGUUUUUUUUUUUUUUGAAACGGAUGCAAAAGAUUUGCCGCUUCUACUAUUAAAUAAGGGAGAAGAAAGUUUGAAGUUUUACAAAAACACCCACAUAUCGAAAAAGGCUUUCGCCCCGCUUUAUAUAUAAAGCAUAGACCAACAAUGCCCGAUACAACCGCACUCACCCACCGCACACGCACACACGCACCCAAGGCUGGGUACAUAGGCGCUGAGCGCAGCAACACACUCCCUAGCAGUACAAGAACCGCCGGGGACUUCAGCCGUGAACACCGCGAAGAAGUGAAGCCGCAUAUGACGAAUCGUGGGCUCCAAGGCGGCGCCUUCAAGAAGGAUACGACACCGAAGUGCCGCCACCGCCCGAUCCAAGGAUCAGAGUUUUUCCUGGAGCAACACGACGGGCAAUGAUAGCCGCAACGACGCCUUCAAGAAGGGAGCGAUCUUCGCCGUCGCCAGUCCGUCCGAAGAUAGAGUAAGUUUUCACCCCGGCCAAUACUCACCGCCACCGAACGCCACACCCUGGCUACCACGCCGCCCACACGGCCGUGGCAGCCGGGCAGCACCGAGGCAUGAGCUCUGCCCAUGAGCACCGCGCCACCACCACCAGGGUCGCCGCCCCGGAGACCAAGACCUUGACACCAAGUCCUCCGAGCCAGGGGUGCGAAAGGCGGAUCCUUUCCGCUCGUUUCUGCGGUUGGGUUAGAGCACCCACAUACACGGCAUGGCAAUUACUCGUGCAAAAAAAGAAUCCUAGUCUUUUAGCACCGGCAGUAAUCUAGGCUCGCUGGUACUACAACACCAGCUACCAGCACUUCUUGGAGGAAUUUUAUGCUCAUUUUGGGAAAUUGUAAUUGGGGGUUGUGUAUAUGUCAUGCACUCAUGUGACUGAAUCCUUGUGCAUUUUUGAUAACCUUUUCAUUUGCCUUCAGAUUUGUUUCCGACCACAAUUGUUUUAUGAGUAAUGCGACAUGUACAGGAAGGUUGCAUAUGGAUUUAGCUGACAAGCUGACUUGGAAGGAGUAAUGCUAGACCCACUAAGGGAUUAGAAUUAGGAUUUGGCAAGUUACGUGAACCUUUGCAUGUGGUUACGUAGGUUUAUCAUUUUCGAUUGGAAGUGUGCAAUUGGAAGAUAGGGAGAGGGAUGAGCUACCUAAUUAUUCUAGACUAGAAGAACACCCGUGCGUUGCAACAGGGCCACAUUAACUUUAAAAGUUCAAUAUUACGACAUUGGCGACCUUUUUUACCAUCAAAUCCUCACACACUCUCUCUCUCCCUCCCUCUUUCUCACUCUCUCUCCCCCUCUCCCUCUCUCUAACACACACACAUCCAUCUUAUUGGGUACGGGACCAUAAUUCAUCUAUUUCACACACACACGCUAGUGCAUAAUGGAUUAUGUGUAUUAUAUUUGCCAUCAGAACUGAGGGAAUUAAUUUCAUGUAAAUCGGCUAGCCAUAGCUCCAAGAAUAUGCGGAGGAGGUGGCCCGGGUCGGCGUCGGCGCCGUCCGGCGCGGGCCACGGGCCCGCUUCCAAGUGCACGUGCAAUGCACGUCUUUACAAAUAUUAUAACCAGAUGUGAGAAAUCACAUACUAACACGAUGUUGCAAUCAAUUUGUAAUUAAAGAAGCCAAAAGACUUUUUUCUUAAACCAGAAUUCCUUAUGCUGGAGUUUAAACAAACCCCACAAUAACAUGAUCAAUUUUUUUUGCUCUACUUAUCACCUAAUUAAGCAAAUGCAUGACUUAUGAAGAGGAUAAGAAAUCAUGUUAACUUGGGACUAAAAUUCCAACAAAAGAGUGAGGAACAAACCUUGUUAUCAUGGCUCUGAAGUCUGAACCUCCCCCUAUUUGUUAGUGAAAUGUGAGUAUGCUCGAAGAUAAUAAUUUCUUAUGCAACAUAUGCUUUUACAUCUGAAAGAGCUACAAAAUAUGUUGACCUACCUAUGUGCACUUCCUAAAUCAAGCGGAUAAAAUUAUCUCUAUCGGCAAUAUAAAAUACUAAACAUUAGUUCGAAUUGAAUAAUACAGCAAAAUUGUCAUUUCUGACUUUUCAUCCAUCACUGAAUACGAAAGAAAGGGACAAUAUCCACUAACCAUGCAAAUAUUCUGACCAUGGGAUAUUUAGGCUGGCGUAUAUGGGAAAUCAAAGCUAAAAAUGACUCGAUGAGUUAGGGAUACAUCAAUAAAUAUUAUAAAAAGUGAUAAAAACAAAUCUGCAGCAACUCGUGACCCCACGAACUCGUAUUCACAAUGAGCAAGUUAGUGAGGCCGCCACGGUAGGCUAGCACCAAGGGACAAGGGCAACAACCGCCUUCCCAUCCAACCUACUGAUUCUGCUGGCGCUACUUUCAUCCUAAGCCCAUGAGUACCGCUAGUGUGUUGCCACGUACGGAGAAACUACGAACUGAAAUUUUCAUCCAAAUCAUGAAAAAUGUUAAUGUUCCCCUUCUCUCCCAUCCCUCGUGUGAACAUACCCAAUUCGUGGUUGGCUCGCUACAUUCAGCGUAGCUCUGAUGUGCACUGCCAUCGCUCUUGAUUAGUUGCCGCAGUGCCAUGCAUCUACGCCAACAAGUUGGGGAAACAAAUGCAAAUGUUACACCGAGUCAAAAUCAAUCAUCCCACAAUCGUCACAACAGAAAAGAUAAUAACCAAAAUUUAACAGAAGAACUACUGCUUGGCUCCCAGAUCCAUCACGAUAACCCUUGAUCUGGCUGCUGAGCUUCUCCUAGCCGCCUCAACAUCACGUCAUUACCAAAUAUGUAGUGGAUGCCUAGUGGGACAAGGAUUAAGAAAAUAACAUGAGGUGAAAAUACGAUGGCUGUCAAUUCCAUAAGACGAUCCAAGUAAUUUGACAAAACAGAUCGGGAGCAUCUUGUAUAAUCUCAAAAAAGCAACUAAAAAUAUGAGAAAUGAAUUGAUGAAAAUCAGCCCCUGCUCUCAUUCAUGCUUGCUUUUGUAAUGGGAGGCAAGGAAUGGGGAUACUGGGAGAAGAAAGGAGCACAUGGACGGCAAGCCUCCACCACCGGCAAGUGGGGUUGCUUCACAUCCAAUCUCCAUGGCCGCCGCCUCCAUGGGGAGUUUCAACUAGGAGCGGCCCAAUUUGCUUGAGAGUUUCUUUUUUUAUGUUUGUGGGAAAAUCUUUGAAAUUCUAUAAUAAAUUUGAAAAUCAAGCUCAUCUUUUGGAUUCGUUAAAAAAUAGAAUUCUCAAACAAUUAUUGGGAAUCAAGAACAUGUAUUAGAAAUCAUUAAAAAAAUAUUUUAAUACAAAUUCCUGAAAACAAUUUUAAAUCAUGAAUAUUCUAGAUUUUGUGAAUAUUUUUUGAAACACCUGAACACUGUUAUUGAAUUGGCGAUCAUUAUUUGAAUUUGGGUAUCAUUUUUGAAAUUCACAAACAUUUUUUUGACAAACGUUUUCUGAAUUCAUGACCAUUUUUUAAGAUAGGAACAUUAUUUAAAAUUUUGGGACAUUUGUGAAAUUUACAAACAUUUUUUAUAAUAUUGUGAACAUUGUUUUCUUAAAUUCCUGAAUGUUUUUUGAAUUAUUGAACGUUUGUACAAAAUCUCGAACAUUUUAUGAUUUACUGAACAUUAUUAAGAAAUGGUGACAUUUUGUGAACUCGUGAAUAUUUUUGAUUUCUUGAAUAUUUUUGAAAUUCCCAUAUUUUGGGGGGAAUUUGAGGCUUUAUUGAAAUCCGGAAUUAUUAUGAAGCCAUAUCUGAAAAAUAUAAAAGUAAAAAGUCAGAAACAAACGAAACAGCUAACCACACACAAGAUAAAUAAGGAAAAAAAACGAAGCGCAAAAACCCGAAAGAAAGCAAUUCUGCCAAUGGGCCGGCCAGUUUUGCUGCGUCUUCGCCUAUUUGCCGCGUGCGGGCGGCGAAUAGGGUUGCCGGAUCCCUACGUCUUGCAGGGAAGCAAUCUGUUUCUGAGUUGUUCAAAGCUCACUGCACGCACGUAUCUUGGCUUUCUGCUUUGCUCGAGCUGGGAGAUUAGACGGCCCUGCAUCAGUUCGGUUUGACUAAAAUCAUAUAUACGCGACGGCGGGCUAACACACAGCGGAUGCAGCAAUGAAAGAGGGGCAUAUCUUCGCGCCGGUUACACAAGUUGCUGGGCCGUGGCGUAUGUGAUGAAGUCCAGUCAUGAAGAAGAGACGGCAGGAAAGAGAGACCUAUCGAUCGCCGUGCUGCAACAGCGUUCAGCGAGUGACCCAGCGUGCAAAACAGGGUCCACACCGUUGGACAUGUUAAUUUGUCUAUCUUUGGCGUUGCCCCCAGUCUAGUUGUUCAUCGAAGUGCCUUGCCCUAGCUAACGGACGGACCUCGUGUCAGGGGGAUUAUAUUAUACUAGUAAACAUGCCCGUGUGUUGCAACGGAAGAGAAAAAUUUUACACGCUAGCGAAAUAAGUUUGACUUAAUACCCUGUUAAAUGAGCGUCCUCUAUUUGAACACAGUGACUCGCCAUGUUGCGAACAUGUUUUAUAAUUUGCGAACAUUUUUGUAAAAUCGCUAUUAUUUUUUGAAACUGCAAAAAAAUUAUGAUUUCCCACACAUUUUUGAAUUCACAAAUAUUUUAUGAUUUCUCAAACAUGUUUUUCAAAAUUUGCAAUGUUUUGAAAUUUGAAAAUCUCGAAUAAUUUUAAAGAAGGAAACAACAACAAAAAAAGAAAUGAGAAAGAAAAGAAAAAAGACAAAAGACAAAGGUUGAAAUGAAAACAACAGGGAGUCACGCCCUGCGGGCCGGCCCAUGGACACGCACAUGAUGACUCAGUGACUCAUCAUGUUGCCACUUAUCUUUCUUCCCACCCUCGUUGAUGAUGGAUGCGAUGUCCACGUGAUCGCAAUGUAGUCGAUAUUGGUAAAUCCCAAGGCAAUGAACUUGCCACUGCACGACCCACUUUAAAAAAUUUCAAAAUAAAUCUCGUCGACCAUAAACUUGCAAUUUUUCAAAUUUUUUCAAUAUUUUCAAAAAUUGCAUGGACAUUUUGGUCAGAUUCGCGAAUUUGUUUUGAAUAAAGUUUUAUUUUUUCGAAAUCAUGAACAUGGUUUUAUUUCCCGACAUUUUUUUCCAAAUUGUGAGUUUUUAAUAAUUUGCGAACACUUCUGUAAACUCACUAAUAUUUUUGAAACUAUGAUCUUUUAUGAUUUCCCACAUAUUUAUGAAAACACAAACAUUUUAUGAUUUCUCGAAUAUGUUUUUAAAAAUUCACAACAUUUUGAAAUUUGGAAAUCUCAAAUUAAUUUAAGGAAGGAAAAAAUGAGAAAAGAAAAUAAAAGAGAAGAAAAAAGACGAAAUGCAAAAGAGAAAAAAACAGAGGCAUCACGCCCUGCGGGCCGGCCCAUGAGCGCGCACCUGGUGGGGAGGGAAGCCGUGGUCCAUGAGGAUAUAUUUGAGAGCCCUCAAUCCACUCAUCAUUUUAUCCAGGCCUAUAUGAAUGAUCUUCGGUUAAUACAGCAAGAUAGAAGCAUAGUACGGCCGAGGGAGGGAGGAGCACGGCCAAGGACAACACAGUGGAUUCACCCACCAGGAACAAUGUGCAAGAUCAAUGUAGACGGUGCUGUUUCUAAGAAUCAGAAGAGAGGAACUGCAACGGCAAUAUGCAGAGACCACACUGGUAAUUUCCUUGGGGCUUCGGCCAUACUUGUGCGGGGUGUGUACGACCCACCGACGCUAGAAGCGCUUGCUGUUCGGGAGGCUCUAGCCCUGGCCAAAGAUCUGAACUUGCAGAAUCUACACGUUGCAUCAGACUGUAAAGUGGUGAUUGAGGACAUGAAGGAGCAAAACCCAGCUGGUUAUGGUGCAAUUCUACAUGAAAUAACUGACCUUGCGAAUGGUUUCGUAGAGUGUAAUUUUGUUCAUGAGUAUAGGAGCUCGAACUUCGAGUCUCACAAUCUAGCGAAGCAUGCUUUAAAGUUAGGGGCGGGCUGCCAUGUUUGGUUAGGACACCCCGGUAAUCCCGUUUUUGUCCCUGUAAACAUUUAUCAGGAUAAAUAAAGCUUCGCGUGAUUGUCUCAAAAAAAAAAAUGAACGCGCACUGGGUGGGGAGGGGGAGCCGAGUGACAAAAAGGUGGGGAAAUUCGGCGUAACCUAAGGUUAGAACCCUGGUGUUCGCGGUGCAAUCGAAAGACUUUAGCCACCGUGCUAUCUCUGUGUGUGUGUGAUUUAAAUGCAGUAUCAUCUCUAUAAAACAACCUCGCAUGGCGGUGAAUUUAAAACGAAUCGUUUUUUAACUUACAGGGUGGCAUUGAUGGGUAAUUGCUGUCAACUUAUAUAGGGCAAAUUACAUGACGCACGACCAGAAGAAAUACUUGCUUUAGUAUUAUUAGGGUAGAUACGCUCCUACUUAUAAGAAAGAGCCUCACCUCACCUCAAGGGUGCAGUGUAGCCGUAGCGAGCUCUGGUUGCGACUAAUUAACGCGCAUAGCAAUAGCAUGCACUGCAUGGCUACGUACGUGACGUGAAACCGAACCAAUUGCAACCAGAGAGGCCGAGCAGCCCCAGCGCGCGCGCGUGUGUGUGUCUGCGUGUGUGAGCAUGUGUGUCCCAAAGGCCAACCGAGAGAGGCGUGUGGCUUUCUCCGUCCGGCGUCCGUGCGCGAGCUUAGCCUGUCCUGUCUCCUGCGUACGUGCGCACGUACGCACGGGCAGCAUGCAGCACGUACGGGAAGCAACCGUGUCCGUCGGCCUACACGCCGCCGAUGCUACCGGCCGGGCCGGCACACAACGGCACGGUAUGGCGACCGGGUGCUGUCGUCGUACGUCAUGCUCGUACGCCCCCCUGCUCGUCUAUCUCAAACAGACCUGCAAAUUGGCUAGACAAGACACGCGGUGGGUGCAUUGCACGUACUACGUACGUACCGGCCGCUCCUAACUGCAUUGCAAACUUAACAUAACCGUACUAUCUUCUGCAACCCACCAAAUCAUCAAAUCGAGAUGAACCUAUAUAUAGUUACACAACUAACAUGAACCAAAUUAUAUCUACCGUCAAGCAAACUUUUCUCGUAUCAGUAGAUUUCUACAUGUUUGAUUCAUUCUUUCCGACGCAAUAUAGGAGUAUUAUAUAUAGCUUUAAGCCUUUAACGGAACAUCAUAAGCAUCCAUUACUCGUUGCCCGAGCCUCUGACGCCAUGUCGACCCGGUAGAUCUCCACGUUUCUUUUGCUAUAUAUCGUCGGCGUUAUCGAGCUCGACAAGCACGUGUUUUUUUCUUGCGGGGGACAAGCCCAUGGUUUUAAUGGUUCGGUGUUUCAACACAGUUGUGGUUGGUUUUGCUAUAUCACCACCUUUUCAAAGACGUACAAUCUCAGUUUACUGAGAAGCGCAAUUUACAUUGAUUUACACUGUUCUAAAUCAGUGUGACCUCAUAACAAAGAUACUUUCUUUGAUUCAUAUCAAUUGUCGCUGAUUUUGUGCAUUAAUAUGGAUAAAAUGGAGUAUUGAAUUUAAAUAUUCCUAUAAACAGAACUAUUCAUUUUGUAAUGGAUUAUGCAGCUGGACAAGGACAGGGUGCAGGCGGCCAAGUGCCGUGUGCGUUUAGUCGUCUGAUGAAGAACAAAAUUGAUGUUUUGACCCUUUUGUGAAAGUUGAAUCAGAUCUGACCUUCGUUUGAUUUUCUUUUUCAAGAUUUGAUUCUUUUCCUACUGACGGGGUCGAUGACGGUGGGGCAUAACUGCGACCGUCGAGGUAGGCUCGAGGUAGGAUUGCACGUCCUACCGCCAAAAAAAUCAAAUAUUGAAUACAAAGCUUGUAACCACAUACCGACGGGUACCUUAACGGUAGGGUUACACAUGCUACCGCCAGCCAUUUUAGCGACAGGGCUAGAAGUUGCCUACCGUCACGGGCCUCGGUGGCAGGCUAGUAUACCCUACCGUCAUCGUCGCCCAUGGCGAUAGGAAAAAAAUCAGAUCCUGAUUUUUUUUCUGAAUCAGGGUUAAAUCUGGCUCAACUUUCGCGAAAGGUUGCACUCCCAUGAACAGGGUUGCUUAUCGUGCUUGCAUGCUGGCCGUGCACACGUUGGCACGCGCACAGGAGGGAAGACACGCAAAGCGCAAUCACGUUCCGUGGUUGCUGCCCAGAACUCGGACCCACCACGAUCUCUCUUUGCUUCACGUCACGUGGCCGUGCAUGCAUGCACGUCGAAUCCAGAGCAGGCGCAGUUUUCGAUGCAAAGAGUAGAGACCAAAGCUGUAGCAAAUGGCCGAAUCGUCUCCUCUGCUGCUUCUGGCCGGUCGUACGCCAUUGAGCUGUACGUCGAGCUAUAGCUAGCCUGACGCGACAUUAGAUGUACGGCCCUGGCCUUUCUGCCAUGCACGUCAAGGACUAUGAACAGGCUCGAUCCUUCGGUGCAAAGACAGACAGGCAGAUACGUCUACUGGUGCGUGCCUUCUUUUGCACGCUGGGUCGCUGCCUGCUCAGUGCUCACGUCCUGCUGUGCUGUCUUCUUUGUUUUCGUUUUCCUAUUUGCUACGAGUAGUUCUCUAGAAUAUCACAUGAAAACUAAGUUUCAGUAGAAAUUGAUGAAAACCACGGUGUAAACAAUAUUUUAGUUUUGAAAAAAAAUCUUUAGAUACGGAAUGUUAAGAGUGCGAUGUUCAAUUAGCAUGUGAAAUUUCAAAGUUCAUACACAUUACUAUUGACGAGGUACAAAAAAAAUGUGUUGAAGACUGCCAAACAGUAAAUGUCAUUAUUCCUUGCUAAAUUUGUUCUUUUCAUAGCUUGCAAAUGGUAAUAUAUUUGAACUUGGAAUUUGCAUGGCAAUAGUAAAUAUAUCAAUCUCUUAACAUCAUGUAUUGUUUAGUUUUUGUUUUAACUUUCAAAUGUGGUUUCCAUGAAGUUUUCUUUGAAACUUGGUUUCCAUGUGAUAUUCUAUGUCGUGUCUAAACCUCUCACCACCUCUCAAAACAGUAUUACGAUGUUUCAAUAUUCGUGCAGACUAUCGAGCUCUCCUGCUCACGCUGUGUCUGUGUUUUCUGCAUCGCGUGCUUCGUUUUUCGCUUGGGUUGUUUUUUGUGAUGCUCCUGGAAACAUGUAAUUUAUGUAUCUGUGUUUGGGUCAUACGGGUCCUCUGUUGUUUAAGUGGGUUGUGAUUUUCAUUAUAUAUUUCUGGUAUGUGAAUCCAAGAUUCGUUAUUGCACAUCAUAUACAUGUGUGUGUGUGGUUAUAACAAAGCACAACGUCCGCUCUAGCGCUCCAAGACUUGUCUUAUUUUCUGGAGCGCGCGUGCAGAUUUCCGUUCGGGCAUUCUCCUUGUUGCUGGCCACAUUUUCGCUGGACCGUUGUCGGUGUGUGAGGUUUUUUAGUUCAUGUGUUGUUGCGUAUCACUAGUAGAAAAAGAGGCUUCCGUCCAGCCUCAUUAGUCGCGAAACUGUAGGAACCGCGACUAAUGAAGUCUUCAGUCGCGGUUCGGCAGAUGAACCGCGACCAAAUGCCUGGGCCCAGGGCGCUCGCGGGCUUUAGUCGCGGUUGGCCAGGCCAACCGCGACUAAAGGUGCCCAAAGGNNNNNNNNNNNNNNNNNNNNNNNNNNNNNNNNNNNNNNNNNNNNNNNNNNNNNNNNNNNNNNNNNNNNNNNNNNNNNNNNNNNNNNNNNNNNNNNNNNNNNNNNNNNNNNNNNNNNNNNNNNNNNNNNNNNNNNNNNNNNNNNNNNNNNNNNNNNNNNNNNNNNNNNNNNNNNNNNNNNNNNNNNNNNNNNNNNNNNNNNNNNNNNNNNNNNNNNNNNNNNNNNNNNNNNNNNNNNNNNNNNNNNNNNNNNNNNNNNNNNNNNNNNNNNNNNNNNNNNNNNNNNNNNNNNNNNNNNNNNNNNNNNNNNNNNNNNNNNNNNNNNNNNNNNNNNNNNNNNNNNNNNNNNNNNNNNNNNNNNNNNNNNNNNNNNNNNNNNNNNNNNNNNNNNNNNNNNNNNNNNNNNNNNNNNNNNNNNNNNNNNNNNNNNNNNNNNNNNNNNNNNNNNNNNNNNNNNNNNNNNNNNNNNNNNNNNNNNNNNNNNNNNNNNNNNNNNNNNNNNNNNNNNNNNNNNNNNNNNNNNNNNNNNNNNNNNNNNNNNNNNNNNNNNNNNNNNNNNNNNNNNNNNNNNNNNNNNNNNNNNNNNNNNNNNNNNNNNNNNNNNNNNNNNNNNNNNNNNNNNNNNNNNNNNNNNNNNNNNNNNNNNNNNNNNNNNNNNNNNNNNNNNNNNNNNNNNNNNNNNNNNNNNNNNNNNNNNNNNNNNNNNNNNNNNNNNNNNNNNNNNNNNNNNNNNNNNNNNNNNNNNNNNNNNNNNNNNNNNNNNNNNNNNNNNNNNNNNNNNNNNNNNNNNNNNNNNNNNNNNNNNNNNNNNNNNNNNNNNNNNNNNNNNNNNNNNNNNNNNNNNNNNNNNNNNNNNNNNNNNNNNNNNNNNNNNNNNNNNNNNNNNNNNNNNNNNNNNNNNNNNNNNNNNNNNNNNNNNNNNNNNNNNNNNNNNNNNNNNNNNNNNNNNNNNNNNNNNNNNNNNNNNNNNNNNNNNNNNNNNNNNNNNNNNNNNNNNNNNNNNNNNNNNNNNNNNNNNNNNNNNNNNNNNNNNNNNNNNNNNNNNNNNNNNNNNNNNNNNNNNNNNNNNNNNNNNNNNNNNNNNNNNNNNNNNNNNNNNNNNNNNNNNNNNNNNNGGAAGGCAGAGGCAGGUGUAGCUGACUCGGCAUUUGAAAACUUGCUGAAAAUGUUGAAGAAUAUGUUUCCAAAGGAUAACGAGUUGCCCGCCAGUACGUACGAAGCAAAGAAGGUUGUCUGCCCUCUAGGUUUAGAGGUUCUGAAGAUACAUGCAUGCAUCAACGACUGCAUCCUCUACCGCGGUGAAUACGAGAAUUUGAAUGAAUGCCCGGUAUGCACUGCAUUGCGUUAUAAGAUCAGAGGCGAUGACCCUGGUGACGAUGUUGAGGGCCAGAAACCCAGGAAGAGGGUUCCCGCCAAGGUGAUGUGGUAUGCUCCUAUAAUACCACGGUUGAAACGUCUGUUCAGGAACAAAGAGCAUGCCAAGUUGUUGCGAUGGCACAAAGAGGACCGUAAGUCGGACGGGGAGUUGAGACACACCGCAGAUGGAACGCAAUGGAGAAAGAUCGACAGAUGGUUCAAAGAUUUUGCAGCUGACGCAAGGAACAACCCGGGGAAGCCUGAAUCCUGGGUUAGGAAGGCCCACAUGGAGACUUUCGGCAGUUGGUUGAGAAAACAUUUAAUGAAUAACAAUGAUGUUGUAGAUCAGCUGUACAUGUUGGCCAAGACACCAUCUUCAACUAUAACGACUUUCCAAGGGUACGAGAUAAAUGGGAAUACAUUUUACACGAUCGCCCAAGAUAAAAAGAGCACCAACCAAAACAGUGGUGUCCGCUUUGAUGCAGCAACCGAGAAUGGGCAAAAGGUCACAUAUUAUGGUUACAUAGAGGAGAUAUGGGAACUUGACUAUGGACCCUCCUUUAAGGUCCCUUUGUUCCGGUGCAAAUGGUUCAAGCUAACAGGAGGUGGGGUAAAGGUGGACCAGCAAUACGGAAUGACAAUGGUGGAUUUCAACAAUCUUGGUUACCUUGACGAACCAUUCGUCCUAGCGAAAGAUGUCGCUCAGGUUUUCUAUGUGAAGGACAUGAGUAGCAAACCGAGGAAACGGAAAGAUAAGAAAACGAUCAGUACAUCAUGCGAUGAUCCAAAGCGCCACAUUGUUCUUUCAGGGAAAAGAAACAUCGUCCCGUCACCUACACCUCCGUCACGUCAGCCGACGCCCCCCAGUCCACAACGUCCGGCGGGUGAUCAGACGCCGCCCCCCAGUCCUCGUCCGGCGGGUGAUCAGACGCCGCCCCCCAAUCCACCUCCGGCAAAGAAGCAGAAGCAAUCCUGGAUUAUUAACCCGGACCCUUAUGUACCUAAGACCACAAAGGUACCGGAGCCAUCAUUGAAGCCUCUCCCCACAAGGCCUUGGGAACGUAGUGCCGAGGAAACUGCCACGGCCGCGGCUGCUGAUCAUGAGAAAUGGAAGGCGGACUGCAAGAAGAAAAGAGAGCCCGAGCCCAAGCCAGUAUUUUCUGAUGAGCAAAAGAAGUGGGCUAAGUCAUUUUUGAGCACACCGUCCCAAGCCGCGAAGAAUCUGCCUGACGACUAUGCACGUGAACUUCGUAGGCAGGCACUCAUGUUGAAGGAGAAGAAAGAGCGGGCGGAGAACCAGGAGAACAAAGCCUUGGAGGAGGCCGAGAAAACGGAAUUAGAAAGUAAAAAAAGCGGGAAAUGAGUUGCCCAGCUCGGGGAACAAAGUAAACAAUCGAUUGCCCCGCUUAUAGUGAAAGCCGCCGGUCCGGAUGACCCCGAUAUCAUAGCAGCUGCGGCAGCACAUGGAUUGACUGUAACGAGUGCCAGAGAACAAGCGGCCAACUUAGGUAUUACUCUUCGUGAACUGUUAGGCCUUGAUGAGGCGCCAGUGAAGGAGGUAGUAAUUACAUAUGUGAAGAAUGGGCCUCUCGUCGAGCCUGCGCAGGAACAGGAUCUACCUCCACAAAUGAAAGGUCUGCUGAAAUGGUACAAGGGUUACAUAAAAAAUAAAAACGCCAAAGAAUAUAUUUAUGCGGAAGUUAGAUAUGAGCAUCACUUCAAACAUUACUAUGUACAAAUUCAUCUGAGUGAAUUGUUCCAGCUUUUCAAUCUGCGCGAGCUCGACAAAUCUAUCAUCACUUGCUACGUUCUGUAAGUGAUUUAUUUCUACCCCAUCUCGUUCAUAUUGCCUGCACUAUAUAUAUGUCCUAACUAUAUUGUUGUGUCCGCUAUUAUACAUGCAGAAUGAAGAUUAAGGAAUGCAGAGUAAGGAACAUCCAUAAUGUUGGGUUCAUUGACCCACACAUCGUUAAUGGAUAUGUGUUGGAGCAUCACCCCGCCGACAUGGAGGCAGACCUGUGGCAGUUUCUUACAAAGCAGGAACUCAAAAGUGAUAUUCUAUUUCCUUACCAUUUUGGGUGAGUGUUUCUGUCUUGAGCACAUUCUCUUUUGUUUACUCCAUGCAUGGUAUGUGGCCGGCUAAUCGAUGAGUUAUGCAUGACGUACUGUGCAUGUAUCGUGUCCGCAGGUUCCACUGGAUUCUGCUAGUAAUUAAAGUUAACACCUCAGAAUGUCUCGUCCACGACUCUGUGAAUAUGGAUCCAAAGCUUUGGGGCGGCAUGAGAAGAAUGAUGCAGAAGUAAUUAUUUUCAUUCAUUUGCGCUCUAUAUCGAUCGGCCUAUUUCGUUCAUUUCCUAAUAUCAAGUAACUAAUUAAUAACUCUCUUGUUCAUUUAAUUUUCUUUGCCUCGUAGGGUUUGGAGACGGUUCGUAGAUACAAAGGUCGGUGAAUUCAAAAAAGAGCUAGAAUUCAAAAUGUUAAAGGCUAAGCAUGCUGGGGAUAUUCAGCCACCGGAGACCAAUCUAUGUGGAUACUAUGUUUGUGAGAUGAUCCGGAGAUACACCUCUGAGCGGGUUCCGAGUGAUACCAAUGCUCAGAGGAAUAACCUCCGGUGGAUGCUUAGUCCAGAAGCUCGCUUCCGACCACUUCAAGAGGAACUAGCUGGAUGGUUCAGCAGGGAAGUCCUCCAUCCUAAAGGAGAACACUAUUACGAGGACGUAGAACUUUAUAUGCAUUAAAUCAUGUAUGGAAACUUGUUCAAAAUUGUAUAUGGUCAUCCGAUGAUAUUGAAUAUAUAUUGUAUAUUCCUCUUGAAUUCUUUUUGGUUCUAAUUUCAAAUUUAUUUGAAAUUGUACAUUCAUAUGCAUGUAUGUAGUACCGUAGAAUAUAUGAAACUCCUUCAAAAUUAAAAUAAAGCACAAAAGAAAUAAAACAAUACAAAUUAAACAGAAAACAGGUUUAGGGGGGGGGGCUAAAACCCUAAACCUGCGGCGGCCUUUAGUCGCGGUUGGCCAGAAGAACCGCGACUAAAGGUCCUCCGCCCCGACGGCCACCUGGCGCCCACGUGGACGGGCCUUUAGUCGCGGUUCUUAAGCAACCGCGACUAAAGGGGGGGGGUCUUUAGUCGCGCCCGUUCGGUCGCGGUUGCGCAACCGCGACUAAUGGCAGUUGCGAACCGCGACCAAAGACCCUUUUUCCACCAGUGCUCCUUUUUAAAAAAACCUUGAAGGCUCACGCAACCUAUAAAGGUCAUCCAAUUCCCUCGCCGCUUGCAUCAGACAGACACACGCCGACGCUGAAUUACUCAGAGUCACUAGAGUAGCCAGCGAGUAGGCUCGCAUUGCCUCUUAUUUUUCUCUUUGUAGCGAUUAAGGCUCUCAAUGAUGACAACGCAUCAUAACGGCCUACAUAUGUCACUCGGAAGAUAAAGAUGUGAAUGAGCGGCAUCGGAAAAGUCUCGUAUGCAAACAUGUGGUUUUGCGGUGGGGUAGCAGAAGAGUAGCACCGCCACAAACAAAACAAAUAGUCAUCCUGGUCUACCAAGGAAUGUUGCUAUCCAGUGCCUGUCGGCCUAGCAUGCCGGUGGCCUAGCUCUGCCGCUAUCCAAUGCCUGCACACACAGCGAACAUUGCAAUUCAAGCCCGUCGAUAUCCUGGACACAGUAUGAGCUCGGGCGAGCAACGAGAAAGGAUAGCAGGCCCGUAUACCACUGGUCUGGGCUCAAUCACAGCGGCUCAAUCACUAUAACCUGACUGGAGACGUGCGAGAGUUGUCACAAGUUGCCCGUGUGGAGUAGAAUAUCUGGGCCGAAGGUGAAAAAAAUAGAAAGAAAAGAAACAAUUCUAGACGGACAAGAUGGUAUAGAUUCAAACAGAGAUAUCUUAAGCCACUAAAACGUAUAUUUUAUGAAAACCACUCUAAAAUAGUUAGAUAUAAAACAUGACUUCUGCAAUAACGACCUCAGCUCUCUCAAAUCUGAACAGCGGUGAUGCCUCAUGCGCUCUUGGUUUAUAAGCUAGAUCCUCUAAUUUGAGGGGAUGUUUUGCAAAAUCAUUGUGCAUAUCUAUUGCAUGGAAUCCAUAAUCGCGUGUAUGCAGGAGACAUGAUGAUACAUCACUACUAGAUUCAUGUUGAGCCAUUCACUUUUGUUUUCGAGGAGAGUUGAGAAAUUCACAAUUUUUUGUUGUUGAGAAAUUCACAGGUGGAGCAAUGAUAAAUGACAUUAAAACUUAUUAGGGCAUAAUGCUUGGUGGAGGCUUGCUAACAGUUGCCCGGCCUGACCACCUCCUUGGGGUUUGCAUGUACGUCGUAUGGUUGGCAUUACUCUUGAAUGCCCCUCGUCUUGCGUGAUCCAUGGUUAAUGAACGUCUUUGCUCAUCGUUGCUUUGUCCGGCUAUAGAUGACCUGGACAACGAUUUCUCAUCCGAGUUGUCGAAACUAGCAGAUAAUUAAAACCAUCACAAUAGUAAGUAGACAAUGCCUUUGACAAUGUAGCAACGUAAGUCUGUCGUUCUUGAGCCCAACAAAUAAACGUCAGGUCAAGAGUUUUCAUCCCUAACAUGAAGAGGUGCUUCAUCAACAUCUUGAUGACAGAUCGAUCGGUAGUUGCAUUCGCCAGUACUCCACGCCAGGUCAAAACAAUACUAGCAGAUUGGUGGGACGUUUCGCACUUAAGACAAAUGUCACAACCGUCUAGUGACCGCUCAAGUCUCGGUGCAGAUCUGGCCGCUGCAACUACACAAUGGUGUGAGUCACACCCCAACAUCCACCAUACCAUUGGCGCCGCCGCCCCAGUGCUAGAUGUCGGUGGAGCAUCGCCGGUGUGCCCCUUACACAUCAGUGCUGGAGGUUGUCGUUGACGCCACGAACCUCCUACGAUGGCCGCUACACUCGCGCUAGAUCUUCUUGUCAUGGUCGUCAAGGGCUAUUGCCCCUGUCACAAUGACUAGUGGAGGCCACCGCAAUCGUUACAUGUGUCGCUGUAAUGAAUGACGUUAUGGUCGGACGCCGCCAUCGAAGCAUCAUCUCACAUCGUUGGAUUCCAGCAGAGAGAUCUCAGAACACUUAAAUGUAUAUUUUAUGAAAACCGCCUUAUAAUAGUUAGAUAUAAAACAUGAGUUCUGCAAUAACGGCCUCAGCUCUCUCAAAUCCGGACAGCGUUGACGCAUCAUGUGCUCUUGGUUGUACAAGAUCCUUUAAUUUGAGGGGAAGUUUUAUAAAAUAGUUGUGCAUAUCUACUCCAUGGAAUCCAUGAAGGAGAGUAUAUAGAAUUCAGAGUGCCUAGACUGCUCUCUACCAUCACGUCAAGAAAUCUGUAAAUUUCAGACCGCUCGAGAGGCCAUGUGGCCACAAUCACUACUGGAAAAAAUAUAUGCACCGAGUGUUUUGGCAUAUGCCGAGAGGCAACGCAAGGAUGUCGGGAUCUCGGCAAUCAUGAUUAGCCCGAGAGCUGCAGUCCGCGAAGAGCAGCACAUGGCAAAGACAUGCCGUUGCCGAGACAACGCUAAAAUGUACACUGGAUAGAGAAAAGACUCGGCGAACACGACAUACGCCAAGAGCCGAACAGUAAGGGCAUGUCCAUUGCAUAGACGCUUGGGUAGACGCUUAUGGAUAAUAAAUAAAAGGAUUAUCCUCAGGCGCUCGUGUAAGAGCCUUGACCUACAACGCUGAGAUGCUUCGAGACGCUAGUUCACCUAGGCAAAACCAGCUACUCGUGAACUGUAGGCGCCUGCUGCCAAGUCUAGCAUCUGUGCCUUGGAGGCGCCAGGAUUUUUUCUCUGCACAGACCAAACGGCCAGGAUUUUGGUCCCUAGCGCCCAUGAUAAGCAUCGCGUUGUACAUGCCCUAAACAUACAACAAUAAGUUACCACGUGAUAUAUUCUUUCGCGGCUAAUGGCUCCAUGACAAUAGCGUAUUUUUGCCGAGAGCUCAUAUCAGGAACUCGGGAUAUAUUUUCAAAUAAUCAUUUUCUUUCGGUCAUUUCCACAUGGGCCCACAUGUCAUUGACACAUUCUUCCAUGUCUAGUCAGUAACCAAGUGAACACACCCUGGCCCACUUGUUACACACUGUUUCUGGUAAUUAUUUUCUUUUAAUAAUUUAAAUCUAGAAAUGUUUAAAUAUUUCAAAUCUAAUUCAAAUUCAUACCUAUGAUGUUUUUGCCGAGUGUUGAUGCUCUCGGUAAAGAAAUUUAGUUGGCAAUAUAAGUCAGGUUCCAUCUUUGCCGAGGGCUGCCUGUCGGCUAAAAUUAUUCUUUCGACUGGGGCUCUCGGAAGCGCCCGAUCUGCCGAGAGCUGCCUCUCAGCAAAGGCUUCGUUUCCGAGUGGUGCUCAUGGGAAUAUAUUCCGGUGCUGCUGUUGUCAAUUUAUCUCUUAUUUAAUCACUGCAAUUGAAAACAUAUUCUGGUCGCUUUAUUUUGGCCGAGAAAUUCCCAUUGUUCUAGGCAAAGUGUAUGCCAAGUUGCUAACGGACGAUUCCCGACAAAGUUUUGUUUGCCUGAGGGGUGUAUACACCGAAUGCCCUUUUCCCGAAACUGUUCUUGGGAAACGCAUUGUUGGCCCUUCACCGAGUCCGAGUGUCAGUCCGUGACACUCGGCAAACCAAGCGUUUUGAUUAGUGAAUUCUUACCUAUGCAAACACUCACAGCUCAUAACCAACCAUAUGGUAGUCAGGGUGGUCCAUGGCCUGCCUGGGAUUCGGCCCAUUAGUUCAAUACUUCGGUUUAAAAAAAAAACAGCAGGCCUACACAAGCCCACGAAACAAGUGACCGAUUGAUUAUUUCUUCUCCUGAGCCUCAUUGUGUGAUGCACGUUGCUUUGUUCUCCCAAUUGGCUGCACAGCGAAACAGACUUAGAGGAUCUUCAACAGAUGAUGGAAACUGACCAUGGUGUCCAAAAAAACUGGUGUUUGUGGCAAUUUCGGGUAGAAAUUCUGCUCAAGCAGAUGACACUGGUGGAAAAACAGGCUUCCGUCCAGCCCCAUAAGUCGCGAAGCUGUAGGAACCGCGACUAAUGGGACCUUUAGUCGCGGUUCUGGAGGUGAACCGCGACCAAAGGCCUGGGCCCAGGGCGCUCGGUGGCCAGCUGGCGCACGUGAGGGUCUUUAGUCGCGGUUGGCCAGGACAACCGCGACUAAAGGCCUUCGGGCACCUUUAGUCACGGUUUGCCAGGCCAACCGCAACUAAAGCCCCUCCCCUAUAUAUACCCAUCCAGCAGCCAACACUUAGCCAUUUGGAGCCAUUCUCUUCACAAGUGGGUGUAGGUUUGCUUUUGGUUCCUCUUAUGCACAUAAGGUGUUUGAUGAAAUGCCCCAAGAGCAUGAAACAAACAUGACAUGAAGUGUUGGAGCCACACUCCUCGAUCGCGGUUAGCAACUUGAUGAACCUUUGAUGUGUCAUUGAUAAAAUAUGCGUGUGUGCAGUUCAUUGUUUAAUUUAUAUUGUUUGUAGCUAGUUAGUUUAACAAAUGCAUGAUGGUUAAUUAUAUAUUUUAUAUUAUAAUAAUGCAGAUGAAUCGGCAAUGGAUGUACGGUAACCGACUCUCCGGCGAGUUCACUACGGGUUUGAAAGAUUUCCUCGUAGUGGCUAAUGCGAACAAGCAGGGGGGUUUUGUUAUCUGUCCAUGUGUUAUCUGUAAGAAUCAGAAGGGUUACUCUUCCUCAAGAGAUGUUCACAUGCAUCUGCUUCGGCACGGUUUCAUGCCAAGCUGUAAUUGUUGGACCAAGCAUGGAGAAAGAGGGGUUAUAAAGGAAGAAGAUGAAGAAGGGGAUGAUUUCAUCGAUGAAAGCUAUCUUGCUCAUUUCGGUGAUACUUUCAUGGAGGAUGCUGAAGGUGAAGGGGAAGGUGAAGAAGAGGCACGUGAUGAUCCCGUUGAUGAUCUUGGUCGGACCAUUGCUGAUGCACGGAGACGCUGCGAAACUGAAAAGGAGAGGGAGAAUUUGGAUCGCAUGUUAGAGGAUCACAGAAAGGCGCUGUACCCCGGAUGCGAUGAUGGUCUGAAAAAGCUGGGCUGCACACUGGAUUUGCUGAAAUGGAAGGCAGAGGCAGGUGUAGCUGACUCGGCAUUUGAAAACUUGCUGAAAAUGUUGAAGAAUAUGUUUCCAAAGGAUAACGAGUUGCCCGCCAGUACGUACGAAGCAAAGAAGGUUGUCUGCCCUCUAGGUUUAGAGGUUCUGAAGAUACAUGCAUGCAUCAACGACUGCAUCCUCUACCGCGGUGAAUACGAGAAUUUGAAUGAAUGCCCAGUAUGCACUGCAUUGCGUUAUAAGAUCAGAGGCGAUGACCCUGGUGACGAUGUUGAGGGCCAGAAAUCCAGGAAGAGGGUUCCCGCCAAGGUGAUGUGGUAUGCUCCUAUAAUACCACGGUUGAAACGUCUGUUCAGGAACAAAGAGCAUGCCAAGUUGUUGCGAUGGCACAAAGAGGACCGUAAGUCGGACGGGGAGUUGAGACACACCGCAGAUGGAACGCAAUGGAGAAAGAUCGACAGAUGGUUCAAAGAUUUUGCAGCUGAUGCAAGGAACAUAAGAUUUGCUCUAAGUACGGAUGGCAUGAAUCCUUUUGGCGAGCAGAGCUCCAGCCAUAGCACCUGGCCCGUGACUCUAUGCAUCUACAACCUUCCUCCUUGGUUGUGCAUGAAGCGGAAGUUCAUUAUGAUGCCAGUGCUCAUCCAAGGUCCGAAGCAACCCGGCAACGACAUCGAUCAAAGAUCAAGUUCAACAGAGAGAACGACGCGCUGACAAAAGCCCUCGGGAAUCCUGAACACGGAGGACGUGUACGAGGCAUGGGGCACAUUCCGUGGAAAAUAGGGUUCCCCCAGAACGAUGACCCGUACGGUUACAGAAGCCGUAAGAGAAAGAUGGAUCGGGAAGCAGAUGUUGUGGCGCGGUUGGCAUCGGAAAUGGAUGUGAUGAAGAAAACCAUGAGUGUACUAGUAGCCGAAAGAGAUGCAGCUCGGGUGCAGCAUGAAGAUCAUCCAGCGGAUCUCGGAAGCCAGCAGCGGAGAAGCAGCGUGGCUUCCACGGAGGCCCCACCGGCUGGUGCAGAUGCACCGACGAUCGAAAUUACUGCACCGGAGCCUCUGGUGGUCGAAAUUACUGCACCGGAGCCUCUGGUGGUCGAAAUUACUGCACCGGAGCCUCCUCGCUACCCCGUGGACGAUAUAAAGGAGAUGAAAGAAUGUCCUCUGUAUUAUCCUAUCGGGAACAUGUCCAUGAAGGUAGCCAUCGGCAGUGCUUUACCAUGUUUACCUGGAGCACUCCACCACAACAACCCCAUUCAAGAUGGCUAUGCUCGUGUCACGGUGGAGGACAUAGUCCAAGGGUUUGAGGACCUGGAGAUUGACAUUGCUACACCUGAAGGGGAGAAAAGACUUGGAGAUGUCAAGCGCCAUUUCAUUCUAUGGCAAAAGAAGUUUAUCAAGUUUCCAGGCGAGGCGCCAAGGACAACAAGUCCACCCCCCUACGGUGGUGGUGGUGGCGGUGGCGGUGGUGGUGGUGGUGGUGGUGGUGGCGGUUCACCUACACCUCCGUCACGUCAGCCGACGCCGCCCCCCAGUCCACAACGUCCAGCGGGUGAUCAGCCGCCGCCCCCCAGUCCUCGUCCGGCGGGUGAUCAGACGCCGCCCCCCAAUCCACCUCCGGCAAAGAAGCAGAAGCAGUCCUGGAUUAUUAACCCGGACCCUUAUGUACCUAAGACCACAAAGGUACCGGAGCCAUCACCGAAGCCUCUCCCCACAAGGCCUUGGGAACGUAGUGCCGAGGAAGUCGACGCGGCCGCGGCUGCUGAUUUGGAGAAAUGGAAGGCGGACUGCAAGAAGAAAAGAGAGCCCGAGCCCAAGCCAGUAUUUUCUGAUGAGCAAAAGAAGUGGGCUAAGUCAUUUUUGAGCACACCGUCCCAAGCCGCGAAGAAUCUGCCUAACGACUAUGCACGUGAACUUCGCAGGCAGGCACUCAUGUUCAAGGAGAACAAAGAGCGGGAGAAGGCCGAAAGUAAAAAAAGCGGGAAACAAGUUGCCCAGCUCGGGGAACAAAGUAAACAAUCGAUUGCCCCGCUUAUAGUGGAAGCCUUCUGUCCGGAUGCCCCCGAGAUCAUACAAGCUGCGGCAGCACAGGGAUUGACUGUAACGAGUGCCAGAGAACAAGCGGCCAACUUAGGUAUUACUCUUCGUGAACUGUUAGGCCUUGAUGAGGCGCCAGUGAAGGAGGUAGUAAUUACAUAUGUCAAGAAUGGGCCUCUCGUCGAGCCUGCGCAGGAAAAGGAUCUACCUCCACAAAUGAAAGGUCUGCUGAAAUGGUACAAGGGUUACAUAAAAAAUAAAAACGCCAAAGAAUAUAUUUAUGCGGAAGUUAUACAUGAGCAUCACUUCAAACAUUACUAUGUACAAAUUGAACUGAGUGAAUUGUUCCAGCUUUUCAAUCUGCGCGAGCUCGAUAAAUCUAUCAUCAGUUGCUACGUUCUGUAAGUGAUUUAUUAAUUUCUACCCCAUCUCGUUCAUAUUGCCUGCACUAUAUAUAUGUCCUAACUAUAUUGUUGUGUCCGCUAUUAUACAUGCAGAAUGAAGAUUAAGGAAUGCAGAGUAAGGAACAUCCAUGAUGUUGGGUUCAUUGACCCACACAUCGUUAAUGGACAUGUGUUGGAGCGUUACCCCGCCGACGUGGAGGCAGACCUGUGGCAGUUUCUUACAAAGCAGGAACUCAAAAGUGAUAUUCUAUUUCCUUACCAUUUUGAGUGAGUGUUUCUGUCUUGAGCACAUUCUCUUUUGUUUACUCCAUGCAUGGUAUGUGGCCGGCUAAUCGAUGAGUUAUGCAUGACGUACUGUGCAUGUAUCGUGUCCGCAGGUUCCACUGGAUUCUGCUAGUAAUUGAAGUUAACACCUCAGAAUGUCUCGUCCACGACUCUGUGAAUAUGGAUCCAAAGCUUUGGGGCGGCAUGAGAAGAAUGCUGCAGAAGUAAUUAUUUUCAUUCAUUUGCGCUCUAUAUCGAUCGGCCUAUUUCGUUCAUUUCCUAAUAUCAAGUAACUAAUUAAUAACUCUCUUGUUCAUUUAAUUUUCUUUGCCUCGUAGGGUUUGGAGACGGUUCGUAGAUACAAAGGUCGGUGAAUUCAAAAAAGAGCUAGAAUUCAAAAUGUUAAAGGCUAAGAAUGCUGGGGAUAUUCAGCCACCGGAGACCAAUCUAUGUGGAUACUAUGUCUGUGAGAUGAUCCGGAGAUACACCUCUGAGCGGGUUCCGAGUGAUACCAAUGCUAAGAGGAAUAACCUCCGGUGGAUGCUUAGUCCAGAAGCUCGCUUCCAACCACUUCAAGAGGAACUAGCUGGAUGGUUCAGCAGGGAAGUCCUCCAUCCUAAAGGAGAACACUAUUACGAGGACGUAGAACUUUAUAUGCAUUAAAUCAUGUAUGGAAACUUGUUCAAAAUUGUAUAUGGUCAUCCGAUGAUAUUGAAUAUAUAUUGUAUAUUCCUCUUGAAUUCUUUUUGGUUCUAAUUUCAAAUUUAUUUGAAAUUGUACAUUCAUAUGCAUGUAUGUAGUACCGUAGAAUAUAUGAAACUCCUUCAAAAUUAAAAUAAAGCACAAAAGAAAUAAAACAAUACAAAUUAAACAGAAAACAGGUUUAAGGGGGGAGGUUUAGGGGGGGNNNNNNNNNNNNNNNNNNNNNNNNNNNNNNNNNNNNNNNNNNNNNNNNNNNNNNNNNNNNNNNNNNNNNNNNNNNNNNNNNNNNNNNNNNNNNNNNNNNNNNNNNNNNNNNNNNNNNNNNNNNNNNNNNNNNNNNNNNNNNNNNNNNNNNNNNNNNNNNNNNNNNNNNNNNNNNNNNNNNNNNNNNNNNNNNNNNNNNNNNNNNNNNNNNNNNNNNNNNNNNNNNNNNNNNNNNNNNNNNNNNNNNNNNNNNNNNNNNNNNNNNNNNNNNNNNNNNNNNNNNNNNNNNNNNNNNNNNNNNNNNNNNNNNNNNNNNNNNNNNNNNNNNNNNNNNNNNNNNNNNNNNNNNNNNNNNNNNNNNNNNNNNNNNNNNNNNNNNNNNNNNNNNNNNNNNNNNNNNNNNNNNNNNNNNNNNNNNNNNNNNNNNNNNNNNNNNNNNNNNNNNNNNNNNNNNNNNNNNNNNNNNNNNNNNNNNNNNNNNNNNNNNNNNNNNNNNNNNNNNNNNNNNNNNNNNNNNNNNNNNNNNNNNNNNNNNNNNNNNNNNNNNNNNNNNNNNNNNNNNNNNNNNNNNNNNNNNNNNNNNNNNNNNNNNNNNNNNNNNNNNNNNNNNCGACGGCCACCUGGCGCCCACGUGGACGGGCCUUUAGUCGCGGUUCUUAAGCAACCGCGACUAAAGGGGGGGGCCUUUAGUCGCGCCCGGUCGGUCGCGGUUGCGCAACCGCGACUAAUGGCAGUUGCGAACCGCGACCAAAGGCCUUUUUUCCACCAGUGUAUGGGUGGAUAGGUUCUCUCAUUGGCGUGCCAAUUUUUUUUGGACCCUAAUAUCUGGUGUCCGUCAGCAGGGGAGGGACUCCAGCAAGCUAUUUCGUUCACUCGGGAGAUAAUUUUUUUUUUUUUUGAGACAAACGGGAGAUCAGCUCCCAGCGAACGAUUGAGCCAUCCUUGAAUUUUUUUUUUGAGAAAUUCUUGACACCUUUAUUGAGUAAUGUUUUAGGGUACAAGAAUUUGGUCAUUAAGCCAUCCUUGAUUGAUCGCCAGUACUGGCUAACAGCGCAACCCUUGGCGAUCCUUGAUUGAUCACCAGUACAAGAAUUUGCGCUGUUAGCCAGUACGCUGGCUCUAGUGUUUUGCAAUAUAGUUUGCUAGUGUUUUUCUUACAGCGAACUGGUUAGGGGAUCCGACGUGGCUAGAAACCCGCGUCAGGAUUGAUGCAAGCGAAUGCGACCAGAGAUAGAGUGGUAGCUGCGAAAUCUCUCCUCGUUGCGUUCUGCGGUCACCAGUUAAAGUUUCCAUUUUUUUUAAUGUGAUACACAUUGUAUCUGUCUAAUGAAUGAGAGUUAUAUGACCACCUUUAACAUGUAACUCAUGUGAUCCAGUUGUACGUUUACACUCGAUAUGCAAUUUGUCUUGUUUUAACCUAGUUGGCAACCUACCUCACAAUCGAUUCAAACGUAUAUCCACCCUAGACACACAACCUGUUCAACCCUCACCCAGUUGCAUGUCCACGCUAGACAUGCAACUUGUCCGACCUGAACCAAUUACAUGUCCAGACUAGAUACACAACUUUCCUAACACCGACCUACUUGUAUGUCUAUCCUCGACAUGCAACUUGUCCGACCCAGUUACAUGUCCACCCUCAGCACACAACUUGUCCAAACGACAUAGAUCACCAAAUGCAUGUUCAUUCUCGAUACACAACUUAGCUCACCACACACUUGUAUGUCCAUGUUUUGACACAAAACUCGUCCGACCUAGUUGCAUGUCCACCUCGAGAUGCAACUUGCCAAAUCUCGGUCCAGUUGCAUGUUCACUCUCGAUACACAACUUGCUCGACCCAGUUGCAUGUCCACCGUCGACACACAACCACGGCUAGUCCUAAGGGGGGAGGCGGGCGGCCUCCCUGGGCUCCCAAAGUGGAGGGAGCUCCAUAUGUGUAUAUCUAUUCAUAAGGCCUCUGUUGUAUAACAUAGUAACAAAAGUUUAUGGGAUGGCCCACCUAGUAGCCACUACCUAUACCUGGAGCAAUACAUCCCAUAACACAUGCAUCGUAAGAAAGGGAGGAACUUGAGCAGGGCAUCAUGCACGCAUCACGCCGCCUUUUGAUCUUGUGAUCAAACCACGACAGAUGAAUCAGGAAGCCCGGAUCGCAAGGGAUGUGGUUGCGCUGUGGAGCUCGGCGGCGAACCGGUGUUGUGUUUGUCUGUGGAGGCAUGAGUGUUUCAGGUAGGUCAACACCUUCCAUUGUUGGUAUUAGUAUUAGCCUUCAAUUUCUGCGGUUUAGUAGUGAUGUAGUUGUGGUGUAGAUGUCAAACAUAUCAAGACGAAGGGAAAGGCUCUGGAUGAUGAUCAUGGCAUCUAGUUUUGAGAUAAACUGAGACCACAAAUGAGGUAUAACUCUUGAUUUAUUCAAUUGAACAACUAGGCUAGUGUAAAUUUGCAGUAUCAUGGUACUGUUGAUUUAAUUUUGGUAGACGUGAUGGAAAUAUUUUUGUCGUCACUCAUAUGGAUUUGCUCAUCUAUCCUAAUUUCUAUUCGGUGUAACACAUUCCAAGAAUAGAAAAAUGAGCAUUCCAACUCUUCAUUGGGAUGCAAAAAAAUUUAGGACUAUUCAUGAACUCACAUGUCUCUCUGAACUUUUUGAUACAUCAGACAUAUAAUGUAAUCCUAUAGUUGCAGUACAAGCCUCACAUUUAACAUGGAUUCGCAUUUCCAAGAAUAACUUGUGAUAGGCAACAGACCUUUGUUUACUUCCUCCGUAGGCCAUUAUUUCGUUCUUUAUAUUAAGGGCCCCGGAUUAUAGUUCCGCCCCGGGCCCCCAAAUUCUCAGGACCGUCCGUCUACGCAACUCGUACCAACCUUACCCUGUUGCAUGUCCACCAUGACACACAACUUGCCCUAACCUCAGACCUGGUUGCAUGUCGACCACUAGACUCACAGCUGCAAGUAUUACCCCAGGCUACAAUUGCAUGCCCCCAACAGGAUUGCAAUGGGGGUUGUUUGACUGCAGGGAUUGCGGAAGUUGCAUUUUUUUCACUCAAACCCUGCCUAUUCGCCUUCAUUUUUCACCGAUCCUCACUUUCGUCUAUACCCAUUAGCCACAGUGCAAAUCACACUAAUCAACGGAUAAAGUCUGUCGAGACACACCGAUGGAUGUAUGUUUCUCUGUUUUCUUUGGCAAUCUAUAUACAAAAUAGAUGCCUCUCUGGGACUAAGCCAAAAGUGGGGUUUCUCAUGUUUGGUCUAGCUUGAUGAAAAAAAAUUAUUUUUUACAAACACUGUAAAAAGUAAGUGGGAAAUGGUGAGAAUUCUAGAUUUUGGGAAGAUUGGUGGGUGGGUGACAAGCCUUUACAUGAUGCUUAUGUGAGACUUUAUAACUUGAGCUUUGACCAUGAGAUAACGACAAUUGAAGCUACUAGUAAAGUUUGGUGGGUUUCAUGUUUAGAAAAACUUUGUGGGGGAGUCUCUUGAGUAAUUUGAAAUUAAAUUAUGAAAAGGUUGACAUGUCAAGCAUGGAAGAUACCAUCAAGUGGAUGUUGACUUCUUAUGGUGUUUCCAUUGUCAAACCUCUUCAUAGACAACUAAUUGUAGAUAGUUGUUUCCCACAUAAUUUCUGUGGAAAAUUAGGUUUCCUCCAAUUAUCAAAGUGUUUUUAUGGUUCGUGGUUAGGAAAAGCAUCUUAACCAAAGGAAAAUUUCUGGGAAGAGGCUGGAUAGGUAAAAAAUGUUGUGUUUUUUGUGCUCAGAUGAGGGCACUCAUGAUCUUUUUCUCCAAUGCUCAAGUGCUAAAACGGUUUGGAGUUUGUUCCAAUGCGCUUCUAAUUUGCGAAAUGUCCGUGAGAGCUUAAGCAUAUCCAAUGUCAAAUUUGUAUUAUGGCGUUAUUAUAUUAAAUAAUUGUUGCAUGUUUCCAUAUUACAACACAUAGGCAUAUUUGGAUAAGAUGCCCGCGCACUUGCAUGGGCCACCUUAGUAGUUAAGUAAGAAACACAUACUUUUGGGAUGAACUUCUAAUACACUCACACCUUCUACCAAGAAAAAUGUUUAGCAGAGAUGCUUAGAGAAAUAAACCAGUUUUUCUUCAAGUACCGGUGCUUCAUUGUAGAGGGCAGACACUUAGUUAGGCACCUCUCCUUUGGAGAUGAGCACUGGUACUUACCAAAAGUUGAUUUAUCUUACAAAGCACCUCUCUAAACACAUUGCACUGUAUAAGGCCACAGGCACAUAGUCUUUAUUGAGAAAUAUCAAUAACACGUCGCUUGGCUUGCUUGCAGCGGCUGGUAGCGUUGUGUUUUAGCUGCGCUUUGCUGUGAUGGCCGUGGCAGCAUGUUCUCCUCAUCCACCCACAGAAACUAAUCUAUGGUCUCCGAUCUAGAAAUAACAUUUUAUCGACAGACAAAUAGGCACUAUCCCUUAAAGCAAGCCACCAUAUGCCCAGUCUACUGUCGGUGCCAUCGAGUUCCUGCGUCGUUUUGACCGUGUAGGACCGGGAACGAAGCUCGGAUGCAAACCCCAGUCAACUUUUCAUGUUUUUCCCGUCGUCGAAGCCAAACUUUGGAUACUGGGUGCAUGUGCUCUAAUAUAUAUUUUCGUAUAUGGACGUGGAUUUUUAGAGCACUUGCACCCAGGCCCUGCUAUCCUACCUCUUCAAUAUCGCUUUAAGAUCCGUGCAACACAACUAUGUUUCUAUAUAAAAUUUUCUCUUUUUUGCUUCUCCCAUAUAGAACAUAUCUUGAAGUUCAAACCUAUGCAGGAUGGCAAAGCUUUCUAACUAGAAUCUAGGAUAAAUCUUUCAGAAUUUUUUGUUCGACAUAAAUACUAAAAAUAUGAUUUUUUUUUAUCAAACAAAACGUAUUUUGUAUAUUUAUGUUUGACAAAAAAAUCUGUACGAUUUAUCCUAGAUUCUACUCAGAAAGCUUUGUCACACUGCAUAGGUUUGAACUUCAAGAUAUAUUCCAUGUGGGAGAAACAAAAAAGAGAAAUGUAUUUACACGAAUCUUAAAGCAGAAAAUGGAUGGCUAGAUAGAGAGGGCCUGGGUGCAUGUGCUCUAAUAUAUAUUUUCGUAUAUCUGAACAGGAGCCCCUUAAUCUAGAACAAUUUAAGAGACGAGCGUACGCCUAAGUUAGGGCGGGUCUUCUGGAAUUUGUCUGUACUAAACUGUCCUUAAUAACCUUUACGUGUUUUGACCUAAUUGACUAUAGAGUGGCGUACGGUUAAGGAUAGGUAAAAGUAAAGACUGAAGUUCAUGAAGCAUCUUCAAAUGAACCGAAGCUCCGAAUCUUGCCAGCCUGAUCCAUAGGGGCUUUCGGCUGGUUCCAUUAUUCAUUUCAUUUUCAGCAUCCCGACAGAAAUACUAGCUAGUAUAGUACCCACUACUACCCCAUUCCUGCUGACUGCUAUUCUUUUUCACUGUCCAGUACGUACGCCCAGAUUCGGAUGCUCGGAGGAUCCCUGAAUUCCUUCGUCUCCGUAUCAGUUCCCCUGUCUCCGUGCUCCCGUCCUACGGGACCGGCCAUGUUCGACGAGAUUUAUGCUAUUCUCCUCCGUGGAAAAUUUGCUGGACACAUGCGAGCACAAAAGGUCCGUCCAUGGAGUUGGAGCUAGCUGUUUCGUUUCAGUAUCUUUCUUGUCGCUUCCCGCAAUAGCUUAGCUCAGGCACGUUGCUAGCGACAUAGUGCUAGCUGGUAGGCACAGUAUGUCCUAAUCAGAAUCCGCACAGCCCGUUCUUUGCGCUCAAUUUGGCAGCACUAGUAUAUCUAUAGAGUAGGGAUGUCAUGCAAUCCUCCCUCUCCAGCUUGCUCACUUUCUGGGCCUCGGUGGCUUUCCGUCUUCUUGGUGAGGUGCUGGACAGUUUUUAUUUUUGUUUCUUGGAUACUCAAAAACAUAGAAAUAUGAUUGACAGAGUGUAAGAUUUUUCACUUGAAAAGCAAUGACAAGCACGGUGGUGCAUAAGUCAGACGGUAGUAUUAGGGCGCAUGCACCCCAUCUUCUUUUCGUCAGUUUUCACCUCUUCACAACAUGGUCGUUCUACCAUUUCCCGGUUCUAAUCUCUCCCUCGGAAACUCCUCGCCGAUCUCUCGCAUCCCUAUCGCUACCUCCUUUUCAUUGUAGAGUGGAUUUUCCACUCUCGGGUGUACUACAGCCGAGUUGUCCAAAAACUGAUAAAAAUGUUAUGAAGCAAAAUCUAAAAAAUCAGAAAUUUUGCGAUAUCAAAAUCGAUCAAACUUUUGAGGUUGCUGCAAAAUUUCAUCCAAAAAUAACAUCCGAGGAGCUCCCACAAAAAACAAUCUGCUGCUCAAAAAGUGCAUACAACUUUGAGCAGCAUUUUUGUUUUUUUGUGAGAGCACCUAGGAUGUUAUUUUUGGAAGACAUUUUUGCAACAACCUCAAAAAUUGAUAGAGUUUGAUGUCGCAAAAUUUCAGAGUUCUUCGAUUUUGUUUGAUAAUGUUUUAUCAUAUUUUUGACAAACUUGGGUGUAGUACACCCAAGAGUAGCCACUACUUUCCGCUUCCAUGAUCUAAUGACUUGUGAGGUCCAAUACAGCCACCACCGUUGGUGAUGUGAAGUCUUCGCCUAAGAUUGCAGGAAGCUCAUUACCUGUUGGGCACCUUGUCGACCUCACCAUUGUUGGGCAGCCUUCCCUCAGAGUUGUCAAGUUCAUCCAUCGAUGGCACAGAGAUCAGUCACGCCUUGCUCGCCAUAUCACAUUCUCAUCCCCAUCAUUACUCCUCUUCCGCCGCUCCUCCAACUUUGUGUUCAACUAUGAAUCAAGCAUCUGGACAAUACUUCAAAUCAUAGAGCCUAUUUGAAAACCUCUCACUUGGAUAGUUAUUUUGCACCAAAAACACUUAAUAUAUUUGUACAUAUUGUAGUUUUAAUGUGUUACUGAUCUGAUCUUUUGAAGUUUAUAUGUUGUGUUGUUUGGGAGAAAUACAAAAGAUAAAUGUCUAUGCAUGGAGUGUGCCUACACUGGGGUUUUUAAGAUGGCCCACUUCAUGCUUGAGCUAUUAGUUUUGUUUUGCCGGAUGGCUAUUAUUCCACUUACCUUGUACGACAGUACGAUCUAGGUGGUACUAUAUAAAGGGUACAAGUG